rnacentral:lncRNA from 1 species
UGCAUUGGCAUCUUUCUCACUUUUGUACCUUCAAAUUCCAGGCAACGCAAUCUGGUAAGUUUAUGCAAAUUUAAGGGAAACUCCUCCAACUUUGAACAAAAUUUCAACUUCAGUAUUAGUAAGUUAUAGAGCAAACAUAUCGAGUCAGGUAGCUUUUGUAUCCCAGUACGCGAAAGAUCUAACGAAUGGAGAUGUUUAAGAUCAUCUACAGAAUCUGGAACCUCUCUAAGGUCUGAACAACCACUGAAAGAUAACACGCGUAUAAACUUAAUCUUGGAAAACAAAUCAUGUAUGGAAAUUUUGAAAUGCCAUUGAGGUUUCCCAAAUUGUUGGAUAGGCAGAAAUGAACGAAGUCUUUUAGCAUCAGCUAAACUCCCUAAACCAUCAAAACUUUUGACAUCAUGGAAUUCAAAUGAAAAAUGACGGGUUGUUUUCGGUAUACAUCGGCCUUUAUCAAAUUUCAACCUUAAACAGAAAUCCCCACAAACAUAUUUUGCCAAAUCAUUCAGAAGGUCAUGCAUGACGAAACACAACCCGGAAUCUGAAUGUUGAAAAAAAGACCUUGACAGAAGAUCAUUGAAGUACUCUUCACCAACUUCUUCUAGAUGUCUCAUCUGUUGCGGACUCUGUAGAAAAUUUUGGGCCAUCCACAUCAAAAUUAACUCCUUCUUCACAAACUCAUAAUCUUUGGGGAAUAAGGCACAAUAAGCAAAGCACCUUUUAAGAUGAGAAGGGAGAUAACGAUAGCUAAAAAAUAACGCAGGAAUAAUUUCACUGUGUUCUUUUGGUAACUCCCAUAUGUCACUUUCCAAUAUGUUCUUCCAAUCUGAAAUGGAUGACUUUGUGCGUAAAAGACAUCCAAUUGUUUUCAGAGCUAGAGGUAAACCCUUGCACUUCUCAAGUAUCCUUCUACCAACCUUCAUUAACUCAUCAUUCAAAUCAAGAUCACCAUCUUCUAAUGCAUGAUUUUCAAAAACUUUCCAGCAUUCAUCCUCUCCUAAUUGCUUUAGAAGAUGCACUUCAGACCUCAUGCUAGAAGCAACUUUCUCACCACGAGUUGUGACAAGAAUUCUACUUCUUGGAGCCCCAUAGCUAAGAGGAGUUCGCACGGCUUCCCAUUCUGCUGGUCUUUCGUUCCAAACAUCAUCCAAAACAAGAAGAAAUUUCUUUCCUGACAAUUUUUCUUUCAGUUUUUUGUGAACCAUUUCUAGGUUCCCACUGUCAUCUUUUUGAUUUGUGAUUGCCUCAAGAAUUGUUCUUGUCACGGUCAAAACAUGAAAAUGAUCAGAAACACAGACCCAUGCUUUGAUAUCAAAUUUUGCAUCUUCCAUCUUUGGGUCAUUGUACACAUGUUGGGCGAGUGUGGUCUUACCCAACCCACCCAUUCCCACAAUAGAAAGUAUUGAUGACUGGUUAGAUUGUCGGUUUCAGAUGUGAGCCAAUUAAUGAUUAUAUCUUUGUCAGCAUCUCUACCGUAAAUAACACUUUCAACCACCAAAGAAGAUGAUGGCAAUUUCUGUGACACUCUACUGCCUGAUCUAUCAUUAUCAUCAGAAUAAGUACCCUUUUUCAAACCAAGAGCAUCCUUUUGGUUUGCAAGAUAUUCUAGUCUCCGCAGGACUUCUUUCAUCUCUGAUUCAAUUUUCUUGUUAAAUGAAGUAGAGUUGAAGAAAUUUGAUACCUUGGAAGUAAAGGUUUGAGGUUGGGAUUGAGCUUGGACUUGGCAUCUGGUGAGUUCAUAGUCUAUUUCACCCAACAGAUCCUCUGCAUCAAAGACAGCCUCUUUGACAGCAACAAGCCAUGCUUUGACGUGUGGAUCUGUGAGCUGCUUUAGUUCAGCAUCAUCAGCGAGGGCAUUGAUGGAGUGCAGCAUGAUUUUCAAAUUGCGGAGGAGCUUCUCAUCAAGUUUUCUUCCACGAAAGAAGUCUACAAUUUGAGGAGAAGCGAGCCUAUCGAAUGCAACCUGAAGAAAGGCGUUGGAAAUGAAGUGAAAUGGAUUGAGUGGAGGAAUGAAUGGUUCAAUUAGUGGAAAGAAGAUACCCUUAAAUAGCGAUCACUUAAAUAAUUAUUUAACAGUUUUUUUAUGUAUUUCAAGUUAAAUAGAAAAACAUUCUUAUCAUUUGGAAAUUCUUCCGUGAUAUGUCUCAGCUUCUUUGUGAAAUACUGAGGCAAUAAAUAUUAAGAGCAAUUUGGUUAUCACAAGCAAGGGUCUUCUUUCAUUAAUAUCUACUGUGCUGAAUUUCAAACAAUCACCUCUGAACUGAUAUUCUCUGUUUUCUUAAUUGCCAGAUUUUUUAAAUAUUUAUAAUUUCACUUUUAUAUUGUUUACAAAAUUUNNNNNNNNNNNNNNNNNNNNNNNNNNNNNNNNNNNNNNNNNNNNNNNNNNNNNNNNNNNNNNNNNNNNNNNNNNNNNNNNNNNNNNNNNNNNNNNNNNNNACUUUUGUAGCUUGUAUCUUUACUUUUCAUCUAAUCUUUAAUUAAUUUAUAUAAAUGUAUUUAUCAUAUUGACUUAAAUAUUUUAGUUCCAGAAGCGAGGUCAUUUGUCUAUUAAUUAGGUAGCAAUACAAUUUUUUAAACAAUGUAAACAGACUUUUAACAGAAAUCAAUGUUUAGUUGUAGAUCAAUCAUAACAAAAGACUCAUUCCUUCUAAGAGUUAUUGGAAAUUUGAGGAUCCAUGGUGGAAGAGAAUAGCGCCACAAAGUAUCAUCUCACAGUUCAACAAUGAGUUGAAAUUGUGAAUUGCAUGAGUUGAUUUCUCUAAUCUAAGAGUCCAAGAGGUGACAGUUUGAAUAUACAAGAUUUCUAGAAAGGUGUUGGCUCCCAAGAAUACCUUUUUAUCUCCUUCUAUACAGGACCAAACAUAACUUCACACUUUUGUUAGUUGCUGUUCUGAGUCUUUACACUUGUAUGCACAAUUUUUCUGUUGCAGGAGAAUCUUCAGAUUGUGGACUAAGGAGAGGUAAUAAAACAGCAAAACAUACUUAAUUAUCACUUUAUUAGAUUUCAAAUAAAACAGGAGAGACAUGAUUUUUUUUCCAAAGAAUCAGAAUUGAUUGAGAAUGGAUACUUAAUGAGAUGCAAUCUAUUCAAUUUUGUUGAAGAUUGAAGAGUGAUUUCUUAAAUACCUGUUUUACUGUCUCGACCGAAAGGUCAACUGAAAGUCUCGACCGACCGAAAGGUUGUACGGCCGAAAGGUCAACCAAAAGUCUCGACGCCGAAAGGUCAACUGAAAGUCUCGACCGACCGAACGGUUGUGCGACCGAAAGGUCAACCGAAAGUCUCGACCGACCGAAAGGUUGUGCGUAAAAUUAAAUUAGUGAUUAUAGCAAAGCCCAUAAGAUGGGCCCAAAUAUACAGGUGUGUGUUUUCAAAAUGUUAGGUGCAAAAAGAAAAGACCUAAGUAACUCUUAAGCCCAAUAAGAGAGUCUUAUAAAUAGAGGUUCAACUCAAAAGGUAAGGAGAAUUUCAAUUGAUCUGAUAAGCAAAAAACUAUAUCUGACUUUGGCAUCGGAGCGCCUUGCAGGUACACACNNNNNNNNNNNNNNNNNNNNNNNNNNNNNNNNNNNNNNNNNNNNNNNNNNNNNNNNNNNNNNNNNNNNNNNNNNNNNNNNNNNNNNNNNNNNNNNNNNNNNNNNNNNNNNNNNNNNNNNNNNNNNNNNNNNNNNNNNNNNNNNNNNNNNNNNNNNNNNNNNNNNNNNNNNNNNNNNNNNNNNNNNNNNNNNNNNNNNNNNNNNNNNNNNNNNNNNNNNNNNNNNNNNNNNNNNNNNNCCCAAUGUGAGAAGAGACCGAGAGAGUCCAGCCCAAAGUUCGGAAGAUUUGUAUAAGAGUUAAUCUUGUCAACCUAAUUUUAGUGUUCUUGGUCCUUGUUGUAAGAACAUUUUGGCGCCCACCGUGAGGCCGAGAAGUAGCUGAAAAAGGUUGAAGACAAGAUGAAUCAAAUGAGAAGAACAAGGUGGAGAGCAAUCUGGGGAGCAGAGAGAUAAUCAAAAUUCCAUAUCAAUGGCUAUGCUCAUGCAGUUACAAAGAAAGUUCGAAACACUAAAGAGAAGCAAUGAAGAAAAGUUAAGUAUGUUAAGGGCGGAGAAUGCGUACAUAAAAGGAGUUAGAAUGAAGAGACGNNNNNNNNNNNNNNNNNNNNNNNNNNNNNNNNNNNNNNNNNNNNNNNNNNNNNNNNNNNNNNNNNNNNNNNNNNNNNNNNNNNNNNNNNNNNNNNNNNNNNNNNNNNNNNNNNNNNNNNNNNNNNNNNNNNNNNNNNNNNNNNNNNNNNNNNNNNNNNNNNNNNNNNNNNNNNNNNNNNNNNNNNNNNNNNNNNNNNNNNNNNNNNNNNNNNNNNNNNNNNNNNNNNNNNNNNNNNNNNNNNNNNNNNNNNNNNNNNNNNNNNNNNNNNNNNNNNNNNNNNNNNNNNNNNNNNNNNNNNNNNNNNNAACAACUUUGAAGGGAGGGGCUGAGUUGGCAUACUCGGUUGCCACCGUUAUCCAUUGAUUGUUUCAACACUUUAGUAAAAAAGUUUGUAGCUCAUUUUGCUACAAGCCGACCACAUCAUCUGACAUCAAUUGCCUUAGUGAAUAUAAGGUAAGAAAAGGGAGAAUCCCUAAGAACAUUUAUGCAGUGCUUUGGAAAGGUAGCACUAAGUAUCCGCAAUCUCAGUCCGAAAGUCACAAUGCAUCAUAUGAUUACAGCACUGAAACCGAGACCAUGUGCCGACAGUCUUUGCAAAAAACCGGCAACCAAUCUUGACGAGUUAUCAUCGCAAGUGCCGGCCGAACGCUCACCAAACUUGCUUGAUUAACAUCGCAAGUAUUGGCCGAACGAUUGCCCGCUUGCUCGAUUAACAUCGCAGGUGCCGGCCGAACGCUCACAAACUUGCUUGAGUAACAUCGCAAGUAUUGGCCGAAUGAUUGCCCGCUUGCUCGAUUAACAUCGCAAGUGCCGGCCGAACGAUCACCAAACUUGCUUGAGUAACAUCGCAAGUGUUGGCCGAACGAUUGCCCGCUUGCUCGAUUAACAUCGCAAGUGCCGGCCGAACGCUCACCAAACUUGCUCGAUUAUCAUCGCAAGUACCGGCCGCUCACUACUCUUUGAUAGAGAUGGAAUUGAAAGAUACCACAAGAAUCAUNNNNNNNNNNNNNNNNNNNNNNNNNNNNNNNNNNNNNNNNNNNNNNNNNNNNNNNNNNNNNNNNNNNNNNNNNNNNNNNNNNNNNNNNNNNNNNNNNNNNGCUACAUAUGGAAUGCAUCCGUUUGGUAAUAUGAGUACAAAUCACAGUUCAUGGCCUGUUAUAUUGGUUAUUUACAACUACCUUCCUGGAUUGUGCAUGAAGCGAAAAUACAUGAUGUUGUCUAUGAUGAUAUCCGGUCCGAAACAGCCAGGAAAUGACAUAGAUGUUUAUCUUAGUCCCCUAAUCAAAGAUUUGAAGUUAAUGUGGGAUCAGAGUGUUGAAGUAUUUGACGGAUUUGCUAAUGAAACUUUCAGGCUGCAUGCCAUGUUAUUUUACACCAUCAAUGAUUUUCCGGCAUAUGGUAACUUAUCAGGUUAUAGUGUUAAGGGUCAUAAAGCAUGUCCAAUAUGCGAAGAAUACACUGCUUCUCAACAAUUGAAACAUGGAAGGAAGACAGUAUAUCUUCGACAUCGGAGAUUUCUUAGAAGUCAUCAUCCUUACCGGAGGUUGAAAAAAGCCUUUAAUGGUCACCAAGAGACUAGUGGUCCACCAACUCCACUAACUGGUCUUGAGGUUUACGAAAUGGUAAAUAACAUAGACCACACCUCCGGUAAGUAAAAAAAAAGUCAUCUGUGACAAACAUUUGGAAGAAAAAAUCAAUCUUUUUUUAUCUUCCGUACUGGUCGAGGUUAGAGGUCAAACAAUGUAUAGAUGUAAUGCAUGUUGAGAAGAAUGUGUGUGAUAGUUCAAUUGGUACACUUCUUAACAUUAACGGGAGGACGAAGGAUGGUUUAAAUGCUCGUUUAGAUUUGAUUGAGAUGAACAUACGAAGCGAGUUGGCACCGAUACAAAUGGGUAAGCGUACAUAUUUGCCCCCAGCCUGUUACACCAUGUCAAAAGAUGAAAAAGUAAGUUUCUGUCAAUGUCUAAAGGGUGUAAAAGUGCCACAAGGACAUUCAUCAAAUGUGAAGAGCCUAGUGUCAAUGCAAGAUUUGAAGUUAAUUGGGUUGAAGUCUCAUGAUUGCCACAUCUUGAUGCAACAACUUCUGCCUGUAGCUAUUCGUGGGAUCUUACCAAAAAAUGUUAGACAUACCAUAACCCGUUUGUACUCAUUCUUCUCUUCCAUCUGUUGUAAAGUCAUUGAUCUAUUAAAACUGAAUGAACUUCAAGAUGAAAUUAUUGUUAUCUUAUGUGAAUUGGAGAUGUUUUUUCCUCCAUCUUUUUUUGAUAUCAUGGUUCAUCUAGUUGUGCAUCUGGUUAGAGAGGUUAGAUGGUGUGGACCAGUAUACUUAAGAUGGAUGUAUCCUGUUUAGCGGUAUAUGAAAAUUUUGAAAGGUUAUCUGAAAAAUCAUUAUCGUCCAGAAGCUUCAAUGAUUGAAAGGUACAUAGCUGAAGAAAGUAUUGAAUUUUGUUCAGAGUACAUGUCAAAAGCAAAUCCAAUAGGUCUUCCUGCUAAUUCAUGGCACCAUAGGCGUUCUACAAGUAAAUGUUUACGUGGUGUGAAUAUUGUAAGAAAAUCUCGGUCAGAAGUAUUGCAAGCACAUUUGUAUAUAUUGAAUAACACAAAUGAAGUUAUACCUUACAUAGAAGCUCAUAAAGCCAUUGUGAAGGCAAAUAAUCCAAGACAAGCAGAGAAAUGGGUCUUGAUGGAACAUAAUAGAACAUUCAUGCCUUGGUUUAAAGAGGAGGUGUUAAAGGAUUCAACUGCAUCGGAGACCUUGACCUGGUUGGCUGCUGGAUUGAAGUUUGAUGUCGUUUCUUGUAAAGCAUACGAAGUGAAUAAUUGUAUAUUUUACAUGAAGUCUUUGGAUGAAAAGAGUACAGUUCAAAAUUCUGGUGUUACUCUUGAAGCCGAGUCAAUGCAGUUUUCCACUUCAAAAGAUUCAAAUCCUAUACUUGGAUCAAUGGCAUACUAUGGAUUUAUAGAAGAGAUAUGGGAGGUUGACUACACUAAGUUUUCGGUUCCAGUUUUCAAGUGUAAAUGGGUUGACAAUAAAAGUGGGGUUAAAAUUGAUGAAUCAAGAUUCACAUUAGUGGACUUUCAAAAGAUAGGGUAUCGAGAUGAGCCAUUUAUAAUGGUUCAACAAGCAUCUCAAGUUUUCUAUGUCAAAGAUCCUACGUCAGAACAUUGGUAUGUCGUUUUACACGAGAAAAAACAAGGGGAGGCCAUAGAUGAUAUUGAAAAUGGUGACCCCCGUUCAUUCACACCAAUGAUAAUUAAUAAAGAUGAUGAUGUACUUGAUGAUGUACAUGCAACCCGUAAAGACCACAGUGAAGGAAUUUACAUAUGAACAUUCAACCCAUUAUGGUAAUAAAUUUAUAAAUAUUUUUGAUAAUAUGUAUUUAGAAUAUUAUGUUUUUGUUUUAUAUGAUUUUCUUUCGAUGCAGGUUAACUAACGUUUGUUAACUAUGUUUUUUAACAGAGAUAUGGAUGAGAAUCAGAGUCCAAAGAAACCCCAAUCCAAACGAGGCAGCGGAGGACCUACUAGAAUGAAACGUCUGGCAAAGAGACGUGCUGCUGGUAAGAAGACAGCUGUUGACAUUGACGUCAACACUGGAAUGGAUUCUGGUCCUAAUGCAGAAGACUUUCAUAGCUAUCUUGGAGUUCUUUCUCGUGAGAGGAUCUCCAUUUUGACUAAUUCAUGGAACGAGGUGUCAGAGGUCGAUCGAAGCAUGCUCUGGGAGGAUGUUCUGGUCAGCUUUACAUUAUUAUUGUUAUCAUAUAAUUCUUUUUAAUAUUCAUUUAUUAAUUUUAAUCUGGUGAUGUUAUUUUGCAGGCAAAUUUUGAAAUUCCUGAUGUGGAACCGCUUCGAUCAAAGAUUAUAUCGAAUAUCAGGCUUAAGUUUCACGCCUUUUAGUCAAGACUAACGACGAGAUAUGUCUUUGGUGACCUUAAAGAUGAAAGCCCUUGUCAAUCUUACAAUUUCAUUGAAGAAGAGACAUGGCAUAUUUUUAAACAAAGUCGUCUAAGUGAGGAAUAGAUGGUAAGUUAAGGUACUUAACUAUUUUUAUUUAUAUAACAUCAAUAAGUUAAUAUUAAUUCACUUCAUUUAUUUCAAUUAUGACAGCGUCGACGGAAGAAAGCUCAAGAGAUAGCUUUAAAGAAUGUUACCUCGCACGAGACAGUACGUGCGGGGUAUCGAAGGCUUGAGAAAGCACUGAUGGAGGAAAAAGAGCAAUCUAGACAGGGGAGUGCAUCUGAGGAUGUGGAAACAGGGGUCACUUCUCCUCCAUCACCACCUAAGCGCCAUGUCAAAUGGAAGAGGGUCCGAAUUAAGAAGUCGGGUGCACCAAAUUCUAAGCAAUCAGGGGUUGUCAUAGAAAAAAUUAUAAGUUAUUUAAGCCUUUUUUUCAUUUACUAUGCUGCAUUACUCAUAGUAAAAGCUGAUAUGAUUUUGGUCUCUUGUAGGAUACUUUGGACUCCCAGGGCAAUUUUACUCCAGAAGGUCGUCACGAUAUCCUUGUUGAAGCACUUGGACGACCUGAGCACCCUGGUCGUGUUCGUGCAGCUGGACAAGGAGUUGGAAUUAAAGAAUAUUUUGGAGCUGCACGUUCACACUUAUCCUCCUCCCCCAAAGAGAGCAAAGAAGAAUUGAAGAAUAGGCUACGUAAAGAAUUAAUGGAGGAGAUGAGAAAGGAGACUGAAAGGAUGAAGGCAGCGUUGCGACAGGAGUUAUCGCAUCAACUUUGUGCUGAACCGCUAAUUCAGACACUUGUCAGUCCCGCUCCGAAGAGCACAAAGGGGAGUUGUGCAACUCCUACAACAUCAGGGAAUGAUAUGAUGGGUCAGACGAGGCAAUGUGAGCUACUGGUAGAUGGUGGCAUGAUACCUCAGGUGGUGGCCAUUGGAAAAGUCUAUGAAGAGGCCACCACCUUACACAAUGUUCCUCUCCCCUCGGAUGUGGCAAAGGUAACAGUUGAAAGAGUACGAGUACCUGAUGCUCAUGUUCCACUACCUUUAGAAAAGGUAACAACUGUGGCUGAUGCAUUUUAGUCAUUCGUAGCCUGGCCCAGACACCUCAUUCGAAUUAUGCCAGAACCAUCGGUAAUAAUUUCACUCCAUAUGGUAAUUUAUAUUUAUAUAUUACAUCUAAUUUAUAACCAAUGUUCUUUCAUUUGUAGAAACCUCGUCGAAAACCAAGUCCAAAAAAGAAGCAUGAGGUUCCGGUUGACGAUCCUAUAGCUUCCUUAGUUAUAGUUGAUAGAGAAAUUGGACGAGACCCUCUAGAAGUUCCAUGGGAUGAUACGUUUUUUGAAACAAACCCUGAGCUGCCAUUGUACAUAUACAUGUCAGAUCUAUUAGAAUUUGUAGCUGGGGAACAGGAGUUGAAUAUAAAUAUCAUUCAAUUUUUUAUGAUGUAAGUAUCUUUACCUAUAUUUCAUUUUCAUUUAUGCUAAAUUAGCAUUCAUUAUGCUUUAACUAACUACUUGUAGGUUUUUGAAUGGUGUCUCUGUCACUGAGGGGAAGGAAAAUGUGUAUGGAUUCUUAGAUCCUGCAUAUACUAAUCACACUGGAGCAAAGGCAAAUGAGACCCAAUCAUACAUCACAAACACCUUGGAAAAAGAGGGAAAAGAGGUUUAUUUAUGCCCUUAUAUUAACGAGUAAGUUUAAAUAUAUAUGUUAAAAGUUUAUUAUAUUCAUGUUUUACAAAUUUACUCAACUCUUUUCAUGGAUGAUAUAGGGGUGAUUGGCAGUUACUUGUCUUAUCAGUGAAGGAUAGGACGGCUUUGUGGUUUUGUUCCCUACACAAGAAGGUAUCCACAAGUUUUGAGAAUAUCAUUGAUAGGUAAGUACACUAUCAACUUAAAUUUGUUUGACACUAUAAUUAAUCUACUAACAAAGUUUUUUGUAUCAAUUACCAGUUCAUGGCGUGGAUAUAACAUCCUAAAAGGUCGAGCGAAUUCAAAUUUUCAAAAGUUGAACUGGAUGAGACUAAAGGUUUGUAAUUGUUUUCUUUCUCUUUCCAUUGUUUAUCAAUACUUACUUUUACAAUUCAUUGAAUUAUAGUGUAAUAAACAACCAAAAAGCUAUGAGUGUGGCUAUUACGUUAUACAAUGGAUGGGUACCAUUGUUAGAGUAGGCCAUACAAGUAAUUGGCAGGAGGUAACAUUUGAUAAAUUAUUUCUAUAACUUGAACAUAUCUAUGCAUGUAUCUUAAAACUAACUUAAGUGUUAAACCAUUUUGAAAUGCAGUUCUUUGCAGAUGAGGAACCCAUGUCUUUGGAAGCCAUAACAUAUGUCAGACAGUCUUGGUCCACAUAUUUUCUAAACUUUUAUAACUCUAGGAUAUAUAUAGUUGAUCAAUACUGUAGGAUGAUAAAUAAAGUUGUAUUUGUGAUUUUGUACAUUUUUCAUCAAUACAUAUAAUUCAAAUUUGGCUUUGAGUUAUUCUGAAUGUGUUUAUAUCUCUCUUCUGUCUGGCUGAGUAUAUUUAAAUUGCACAAUAAUGAAUAAAACAAAAUGUUCCUAAAAAAAAAAAAACCUAUUUACAAGUGCGGUUAUUUACCAAGACCGCACUUGUAAAUCAUGCGGGGGUGAUUUACAAGUGCGGUCUUGGUCAUAACCGCACUUGUAAAUCACAUUUACAAGUGCGGUUAUAAAUGAACCGCACUUGUAAUUGUGAUUUGCAAGUGUGGUUAUGACCAAGACCGCACUUGUAAAUCAUUGAAUGCUGAAUGCACCUUUAAAAGAAAGCACUAUUCUGUGAAAUAUACAAGUGUGGUUCCAGAUAAUAACCGCAUUUGUAAAUCGAAUUAUAAAGGCGAUUGUAUAACUGCACUUGUAAAUCAUGAUUUACAUGUGCGUGCUGAUCAAGUGUGGUUGUACAUCCACACUCAUAAAUUCAAAAUAACUGCAUUUAUUUUGUGUUUCCGCACCAGUGUUAAUAUCAUGAACUUCACUGACACACACAGGUAUAUUGUAAAAUAUCUAUUGCUUCUUCCAUUAACAAAUACAAGGACCAUUUUUAGGUACAACAAAUACUCAAGCUUUACACAGCUAAUCUACAUCAGGUGACUGCUACACAAAUUCUACUCUCCUAAUUUUAUAAACAAAUGGUAAUCCAAGGAGGAAAAGAAAAAAAAAUUAAAAGCUAUUUGCAAUGCUCACUACUUCAAUGCCACCUCCCAACUCAACAAGAAAUCAAAUACAAUUCCAAGGUCUAAGAAUGUAUGUUUAGAAGCAUUUACAUUUCACAACUCCCUUUCUUCAAUCUUUCUGUGAGGUGUAUUAGUUUUCCCUGGACCUGUUUAGGUAACUCAUCAUCUGAUAACCCAAUUUCAAUCCCUUCACACUCCUCUUCUUAUAUUUUGUAAGUGUUUGUUGUUGCUAUUCAGAGUCCUUAAACUUUUAGUGCAGAGCAAGAGUUUUUCUGUUGCAAGAGAAUCUAUAGACUCUAGAGGAGAGGUAAUAAAAUAGUAAGAUAUAAUUUAGUUUUAUUUUUGAAUGGGAAGAGAGAUUAGAAGGAUGUGAAAUAAAACAGUAGAGAAACAAUUUUUUAUUGGAAUAAUCAGAAUUGUUUGAGAAUGGAUACUUAAUGAGGUUUUAAAACAACACUACAAUAAUCAUGACCAGAGACCAUCCAUCUAUUGGAAAGACCUGAAGGAAAUAAGUUUUAAACAGUUAGAUGUUUGAAUGUGUGUUGUAAAAUGUGGAUCCAAUCAAUGACCCUUCAGUCUUUUAUCUUUACUUUCAUCCAGUUUUGUUUCUGCAAGAGGGUUAAUGGCAUAAUGAGUGCUCAGGGAAAAGUCCAUUUCUAUGUUGGAAUAUUUGUUAAUUAUUUGAGAAAUCAUAUUGCCAAAGUGGUUUAAAAAUACUUUUAAAUUCCAAUUACAAGUUUCUCAGAUACAGAAUGUCUCUUAUGGCCAUAACUUCCAACUACAGAAUACUCUAUUGGGAAUAGAUGCCAAAUGCAAGACCACCUUCACGAUUUUGGUAGUAUUCUAAAAAUAGGAAACAAAUUUGGUUGGAAUUUAAUUUCAUCAGAACAAUGAAAUAAUUUUGCACGAAAAUAAGAAUAAAAUAAAAGUAAUUUAUUCAUGAAAAAUUUAGUUGAGCCUUCUUUAAUAAAUAUCAUCACAUCAGUUUAAAUAUAACAUGUGCUACUAUCACUACAAAAAAAAAAAUAAUUUUGUGGGGUUAUUUUUUACAUUUCCGGUGGUUUUAACCUGCAUUACUCGCAGUUUGCUAUGUUCCUAGAAAAUCCAUCGUCACUAACGGAUUAUUGACGAUUUUUACGAAUUUUGGAAAAUAAUUACUUUUCGGCGAUUUUGAAACCCCGUUAUUUCUCGACGGUUUAGAAACUCCAUAAUUUUUGAAACCCUUGUAAUUCCCGACGGUUUCGAAACCCCCGUAAUUCCCAGUGUUUUCAAAACUCCUGUUAUUUCUAGCAGUUUCCGACGAUUUUGAAACCUCCGUUACUUUUAGGAGGUGCACAUAUAAAAAAGUAGGUGACGAAUAAUAGAAAUGUUGAAGCAAAAUAGUCUAACGGUCUUCUGAGAUCUUGUGUUCCUCUCCUACUACCUAACACUAAUACACUACCAUUUUUCAACUUUUUUUUUAUUUACUUUCCAAUGUUUCAUAAUACUAUAUUGGUAUAAUUUUUUCAUAAUGAAAAUAUAGACAUUGAAUUAUUAAUGUAAAAAAUGUGUGUAGUAUGUGAUUAACAUUAUUAAUGCCGAAUAAUUAUAUUAAUGUAAAAAAUACAUAUCACUUACUAAUUCAUUUAUCUUAUUCAUUAAGAUCCAUCUAAUAACCAGAAGGUGUUAGAAUAAUAAACAUAAAGGUUUAGAUUCGAUUCUUAUUAUAAAAUAGUUAAUUGUUUUGGAACAAAAUCCUAAUGACAAUUUGACGUCACUUUCAUUUUUUUGGUGAGGGAAACGGGUCAUUUUUAGUAGUGCCCUUGAUAAAACAUCAUAAUAUCAUGAAAUCUUCCAAGUUCAACAGAGAGGAAACAUGAAACUAUUGUUGAAUGGCUUCGAACUGCCACAGAAUGGCUUCGAACUGCUUUUUAAUUGCUGUGCUGACUAGAACAAAUUUUACCAAAUUAGCUGAUGUGAUAUGAUUCACCCACAAUAGCUGCCACAGAACCUGCAGAAAUAACAAACUUCAAAAACUAGUAGCUACUUCAAAGCAGGUUACAGUUGUAAGGGGCAUUGCACUAAAACUUUAAGGAUGUUUUUGACACACCAAUUUUCCAAAAUGUAACUUAGUUCCAUUCUUUGAACUCUUAUGUACAUACACAUUGGUAGACACCCUUUGAAAAAAUUUGACACACCUUGUUUUGUUUCACUAAAACAACAGGCAUUCCAUUCCAUAACAUUACCUGCCUUAUAGCAUAAUGAUAAGACUUCUAAUAUCCUUCAGUGAUAGUGGUUUCUCCUGCUCGUAAUAUUCCUCAUUAUCAACUAUCAUGAGCAUAUGCCUGAUUAAAGAAGAACAGCUUAUGAUUAAAAGAAAUACUAAAACAGCGUAGAAACUGCAAUUCAUGCAUCAACACAAGCAUUUUAUUAAACAAGCCAAUAGUAUAAAAGAUUGUAAGCAGGACAGAAUACAGAAAGAGACAACAGCCAACCUGGUGCAUCGCCAGAGAGGUAUGAUAACCGUUCAGACAAGGAUGACCAUUUUUUGUUUUCAUGGCACCAUUUCAUAAAAUUCCAAAGUUUAGAAACAAGUUCAGUUCUGUAGGCAAGUACAGAAAUAAUCUUUUCAAGAAGCAAUGUGUUGAAGAUAACAUGUAAAAAUCCACAAACUGCAACCUCCCUGUCCUCUGGCACCCCAAAAAUGUUUUUUGACACUUGAUACAGAAAUCAUUUGCAAGAUGGUAUACCAGUUGGAGAAGGAAGCGAGUAUCUAUGGCAUUAGAGAUUUGUUGAAUCAAUUUCCUAUCCAAAACUACCUCCAUGACUUCAUCUUCGCCAGUCAUUUCAUCCUCAGCAAUUUUAGAGUCUGAAAUUAAAACUACACACAGCUUAAAAACAAAUGGUAAGAGAGAGAAUAAUCUCCCAUACACACACAAAAAAAUAAUAUUUAAUAAUUAUGAUUAAAUAUAGUAACCAAGCUUCAGAGUUAUGCUCAAAUCUAACAUAGAAAAAGUUGCACACUUAUUUUUGCGUAGUAAGUUGACUUCUCUAUGAUAGAUUACUUUGCUUGGGGUUCUAAACAAAGUGUAUCCUUCCACUCUUUUGCAGUUUCUAAUAAUACACUCGGUGUUUGAAGGUAAAACUAGGCUGUGAUGUUACAGAAGUAAUAUAUUGAGGAUUGUUUAUAUUGGGAAGGUGAUCCAUCCUUGAUUAAAGGGUUAGCUUAUUGCCUAGUAGUAUGCAUGUAGAUAUAGAUGUAAUUGUAACAAUACAUUCUUCCUUCUUUUAAAGAGAAGAAAUAUGAUAUUUGUCAAUAAAGUUUAACAAAGAAAAUAGUAUCUUUAAUAAGAAAAGCUUGAAGGUCUGAUCAGAAAUCAUACUCUCUCUACCAUCAGAUCUUGUCUUGUCGGAGAUGGAUAUGAUUCCAGCAAAAAUGUCGUAACAGAAGCAAGGUUUAUAGCAUGCUCAAUUAUCACUGCCUGACAUAGUAUUUGGUACAUCUUGGAUAAUAUUUAGUCUAUUUGUCUUUCUAUAUUCAUCACUUUUUUUCAAUUUUCUUACUUUGAUUGUUAGUUUUCAAAACUGAAAGUGGCAUAAUUAAUUGAAACAGUUGUGUGCAUUGCAGAAAAGUGCGCUCUAUUUUGUUCUUUGAAAAGAAAAUUUAGAAGCAAUAGACCCAUGAAGAGGUUGGUGGACAACAUUAAGUUUAACUAGAAAACCUUUUACAGUUAAAUUAUCAAACCAACAAAAGAAAUCAGUAGACAAGUCAUGAAUACAUAAUACAUUAGCAUAAGAGCUUUUUUACACCUACAUUUUUAGAUCAAAGGGUGGGAGAUCAAACAAAUCUCUGAUAAAUCAUAUUGCUUCAUGAGAUUCUAUAAUCACAUAGCCGAGAUCAGCUACAAUUUACUAUGCUCAGUUACUAAUGUAUUUGAUAUAUAUAUAUAUGCGUAUGUAUUCUAAUUGCUAUAGUUCAAGAAGCUCUACCAUGACAGGAAAGAUGUUGGAAAUCAGACUUAUCCAAUGUGAAAUUUAGCAGAACAACAAAAUAAUAAAAAUUACUAAUGUGAUUACUUUAACAAUUUUGUAAUCAACAAAUCCAUAGUGAUAUUUGCAAUGCUAUGACAUUAUUACUAAUUUUGUUCAAAAGCAAUAACAGAUAAUAACAGCAAAAAGGCAACUUCUAGAAAAAUGCUUGAUUUGGAAAAAAGAAUUAUAUUAUUGCCAAUUAACAAAUAAUCAAUUAAAAUCAUCUGGUCAUCUCCUCUAAAACAUAGAGUUUAUUUUGUUUAGUAAAUGCCGAUUACAGAGUGAAACAUUUGAAACUUCAGAAAAUUGUAAUUAAAAAGGAACAGAGAUACUGUGGAAAAUUAAUUAGCACCAGUAGAAGAGGCAGAGAAAUGGGAAUUGCUCCACAUCUAAUUUUGAACUUGUGCUUCAUCUUAUUACCUAACACUCAGUUUUUCAAUGUGAGCAAUCUUUCCCCAGCUUUGCCUUCUGGAUUCUGACAAUGUUGUUUGAGCAAUGAACAUUCUCAAAUUGUAAGAGAAGAGAUGGAACUUCAUCGGGAAAAGGCUCCACCUUCAAUGUCAACCUUUUCAAUACACAAGCUUGGCAAACAUGUGUUUACAUCCGCUGGUAAGCAUUGAAGGUUGGGACAUUCACGAAGGAGGAGAGUGGAGAGGUGGCAGAGACCCUUCAAGUGCAUCGUUUUAAGAUUUGGGCAAUCAUAGAUUUGUAGAGAGGUGAGAGAGCGUGGCAGCAAAACUUCAUCAGGAAAACACUCCACGUCCAAAUUUACAAUAGACAAGCAUUCAAGACAUGUGUUGGGAUCCAAGGUGUCUCUCAAGGAGGCAAUAACUUUGAAACAUGAAAAAAAAAUAUGUUUUAUAUUUAAUGGCAAACUUCCAUCAAUAUAUAGGUUUAUGAGAUGAUUAUUAGUGGACUCCUGUGAAAUUCUUCUUAUGUUUUGGCAAUUUGUCAGUGUAAAAGAACAGAGCUUUGGAAAGAAAUGUAGUGGAAAGAUUGUAAGAGAGUCGCUGCCUCCAUCAAUAUGCGAUGUGUCCAUACUGUUUCCGCUAAUUCUGAGCUCAUCACUAACAACUACUUUCUUUAAAUCAGUACCUUUCAGUUUGGGACAUUCAAUCACAUAAAGUUGUUGAAGACGUGGAAAAGAAGUAGUUUUACACUCCCAUUCUUCCCAUUCCUUCAUAUGAUGGAAUGUCAGACUCUCCAAGCAUGCAAAUGAAGAGUUGCUCCCAUAAAAUUCAGCACCAAUGCUCACUAUUCCAUCAAGCCCUAAAAUCUCAAGGGUCUUCAGUGAUGACAAAAGUCCAAGGGGAGGCAAACAUAGGCAAUAUUUACAGUCCUCCAACUUUAAGAACACCAGAUUUGAUAACAAAUUAUCGAAUACCCAACUUGGGAAUUCUAUACCACUGUAGUUACAUAUGAACAAACGCUUCAAGUGUGUGUUAGGUUGUAGAUUCUCAAGUACUUUCUUUUCUUUCCUUGUAUCAUUAGGGAUGUGGUCCGACUUCCAUUCUAAUUCUAGAUGCACAAGGUGUUUAUCCUUCACAUUUGCUUCUGAUGCAUCUAAAGGAUUGAAAAUAUUCUGCAAGUCAUUGAUUGAUAGCCAUCCACGAAGAUUGAGUCCUCCCAAUCCGCUCAGUUGCUUAGUACUUAGCUCGCUAUUUCUAUCCACGAAAAACGUACUUAGUACUUGAAGAUUCUUCAAUUCUCCAAAAUGCAUUCGCAUCUUUGACACUCUUGUACCUUUAAAUUCCAGGCAAUGCAAUUUAGUAAGUUUAUGCAAAUUUAAUGGCAAUUUCUUGAACCUUUGACACCAGUUCAACUCCAAGAAACACAAUUUGGUAAGUUUGUGCAAAUUUAAGGGCAAUUCCUCCAGCUUUGAACAAUAGUUCAACUUCAGUAUUAGUAAGUUAUAGAGCAAACACAUCGAGUUAGGUAGCUUUUUUAUCGCAGUAUGCGAAAGAUCUAAUGAAUGGAGAUGUCUAAGAUCACCUAUAGAAUCUGGGACCUCUCUAAGGAAUGAACAAUCAUGGAAAGAUAACAUUCGUAUAAACUUAAUCUUGGAAAACAAAUCAUGUAUUGAAGUCUUGAAAUGCCAUUGAGGUUUCCAUAAUUGUGGGAUAGGAAGAAAUGAACGAAAUCUUUUAGCAUCAAUUAAACUCCCAAAACCAUCAAAACUUUUGACGUCACAAAAUUCAAAUGAAAAAUGACGGGUUGUUUUCGGUAUACAUCUGCCUUUAUCAAAUUUCAACCUGAAACAAGAAUUCGCACAAACAUAUUUUGCCAAAUCAUUCAGAAGGUCAUGCAUGACAUAACCUCUCUUAGCACCUAUACGUUGAAAAAAAGACCUUGACAAUAGAUCAUUGAAGUGCUCUUCACCAACUUCUUCUAGAUGUCUAAUCUGUUGUGGACUUUGUAGAAAAUUUUGGGUCAUCCACAUCAAAAUUAACUCCUUCACAAACUCAUAAUCUUUAGGGAAUAAGGCACAAUAAGCAAAGCACCUUUUAAGAUGAGAAGGAAGACAGCGAUAGCUCAAAAAUAACGCAGGGAUAAUUUCAUUGUGUUCUGGUAACUCCCAUAUAUCACUUUCGAAUAUGCUUUUCCAAUCUGAAAUAGAUGACUUUGUGCGUAAAAGACAUCCAAUUGUUUUCAGAACUAGAGGUAAUCCCUUGCACUUCUCAACUAUUCUUCUACCAACCUUCAUUAACUCAUCAUUCAAUUCAAGAUCACCAUCUUUAAUUGCAUGAUUUUCAAAAACUUUCCAGCCAUGCUUUGACGUGUGGAUCUGUGAACUGCUUUAGUUCAGCAUCAUCAGCGAGAGCAUUGAUGGAAUGCAGCUUGAUGUUCAAAUUGGCGAGGAGUUUCUCAUCAAGUUUUCUUCCAGGAAAAAAGUCCAGAAGUUGAGGAGAAGUCAGCUUGUCGAAUGCAACCUGAAGAAAGGCGGAAAGAAGAGCACCACCAACAAAUGAAGUGAAUGGAAGUGUGUGAUUUGAAAUGGACAGUGAUUAAGUGCAAGGAAUCUUUCUCAAUCAAUGACCUUUUUUAAGUCUUCCCAUCAACGGUUUCUGAUAAACAAAAUAUUCACAGCUCUAAUCCAUGAAUGGAUGUCUCACAAUAAGAUGCAAUAAACAAAUAUGCCUCGUAAACUUUCAUAUUCUCUAACUUCAGAUAUAUUAUAAUUAAGCAUAUCUAUUUUAUGUCUACGUUUUUUUUUUUUUGUUAAAGAUCCGAUUUGUUUCUUAAUGUAUGUUGUUGGAUUUUAUUUUAUAAUAUUUAUACUUUGUUUAUGAAUUUCCAAGCUAGCUUAAUUAGUUACCGUUUGUAACGUAUGAGGUGUUUUUUAGAACUUGUGUAUAUAGGGACAGAAUGAAAUAAGAUGGUGGGAUACUUAAAGGGUCUUAUAAAGCUAGAUAUUUAUUCUUAAAUAAAUAGGAAAUGUGUUUUUAGUGGAAACAAAAACAUUUUGCAUUUUGACAAAUUUUGGGAAGAAGUUACUAUAAAAAUGNNNNNNNNNNNNNNNNNNNNNNNNNNNNNNNNNNNNNNNNNNNNNNNNNNNNNNNNNNNNNNNNNNNNNNNNNNNNNNNNNNNNNNNNNNNNNNNNNNNNAAUACAAAACCGAGAGGUCUCAUUUUUUGCAUGGCAGAAAACAAAAACCGAGAGGUUUUCUCAUUUUUUGCAUAGCAGAAAACAAAAACCGAGAGGUUUUAUCAAAAAACCGAAAGGUUCCAAUACAAAACCGAAAGGUCUUAUCAAAAAACCGAAAGAUUCUAAAACAAAAACCGAGAGGUCUCAUUUUUUGCAUGACAUAAAACAAACACCGAGAGGUUUUAUCGAAAAAACCGAAAGGUUCUAAUGCAAAACCAAGAGGUCUCAAGACAAAACCGAGAAGUCUAAAUAAACAUUGGCGUAUCAGUAUCAAGUCCAAAAGUUCAAGCCUAUAAAAAUAGUCAAAAUUGGUCUCUAACUCCAAAAUUAGAAAGUUCAUAGACAAUUAUUUUCGGUUCAAACUCAAAAAUUGAAAGUGGACAAUCACAUCUUCACUUUAUCUUUCAUGCACAUUUGUGAUAAAUAAAGAUUAUUCACUAGCAAAUAAUUGGGAUACGUGCAAAAUAACUAUCAAGUGGCUGGGACAAAACAUGUUACAUCAUCAGUGCCACCCUGGAACUUUACUUGGGAGUUCUUACAAACCAACUGAAACACGCUAUUCGGCGCCGGCACGCCUCACAUCAUCAGUGCCACCAUCUUCAUCUUCAUCUUCAUCAUAAGGAAUUUCACUGAUGGGCAUCAGUUCGUCAUUAUAAAAAUCUUUGCCCAUGUCGAAAUUUCCAGCAUCCGAUGGACUCUUGUAAAAAUACUCGGCUUGCUGGAGAGGUUUUGCUAAACCCAACUUGUGUUGCUGAACAACAUAACCCUCAGCUCGAGUAACCCUUGAAUUCAAGUGGUUUUUCACAGAUUCUAAACGAAGAUUAUUAUCAGCUUCAGCGAAGUUUCCUUUCAAACGUUGAAUCUCAUUGUCAAGGGAUAACUUAUGAGUCGUUAACUCAGUAACCUCAUCCUUCAAAGACUCUUUCUCGGCUUCAUCACAAUCAUUAGCCUUAGACAAACUCUUCAACUUGGGAAGUUAAGGAUAUGAUCUUCUCAUUUGAUUCAGUUGCUUCCUUUUUCAAUUUUUCAAGUUCAAAAGAAGAAACAUCCUUAGUCUCUUCUCUUAUUGCUUUGCCAAUUAGUAAACUCCGACUAGUAGCCUACGAGAACAUGUCACGGGAAGAAGCAUUGGGACUAGUAUGCACAAAAUCCGAAAGUUAUAGGUCGAAAAGUUGGCCGAAAGGAAAUCCGAAAGGUAAACGGCCGAAAGGUAAACACAUCUUCAAACAAAGCAAAAAUUAUGUUAUUCAAGACUCUUGCUGGAUUCAACCAACUCUUUAUUCAGCUUCAAGAUCUAUAGCUUCUUCACUUGAACUCCUCACUACUAACUUGCUCGAUGACAUUGCAAGUAUUGUCCGAACGCCCGCUCGCUCGAUUAUCAUCGCGAGUGCCGGCCGAUCACUCACCAAAUUUGCUCGAUUCAUCUCAAUUACUUUCCUGAUAGCCUCGUUACUCAUGUCCACAAAUUCUGUAAAUUCAUCAGAAAUCGAAACAGAGCCUGCAGAAGACAUUAUACCUUUUGAGAGUAUUCGGUUCAAUCUUUCUGAAUCAAUAAAAACAAAAAACCCUUCCAACCGAAGCGUUACGAUAUCACAAUUAUAACUCGUCAUGUUAAUCGACAUAAUCAAGAAAAGUACACGAAACAAGGCAAUACUUUGAUACGGAAGGUAUUAACUACAAAAUUUGUCCUUUUCAUUAGGCAUAACGUCUUUUUCAAAUCCUCAUGCCUGGGGGGCUAGUGUACUGUCUCGACCGAAAGGUCAACUGAAAGUCUCGACCGACCGAAAGGUUGUACGGCCGAAAGGUCAACCGAAAGUCUCGACGCCGAAAGGUCAACUGAAAGUCUCGACCGACCAAACGGUUGUGCGACCGAAAGGUCAACCGAAAGUCUCGACCGACCGAAAGGUUGUGCGUAAAAUUAAAUUAGUGAUUAUAGCAAAGCCCAUAAGAUGGGCCCAAAUAUACAGGUGUGUGUUUUCAAAAUGUUAGGUGCAAAAAGAAAAGACCUAAGUAACUCUUAAGCCCAAUAAGAGAGUCUUAUAAAUAGAGGUUCAACUCAAAAGGUAAGGAGAAUUUUCAAUUGAUCUGAUAAGCAAAAAACUAUAUCUGACUUUGGCAUCGGAGCGCCUUGCAGGUACACACACCCACCUGUGAGGAGAAGAAGUCGAGAGCCCAACCCGAGAAGAAGCCGAGAUCACCUAGCUGAAGGAGAGGCCGAGAGCGCCUAGCUAAAGGGGAAGUCGAGAGCACUUAGCCGAAAGAGAAGCCGAGAGCCCAACCCGAGAAGAAGCCGAGAUCACCUAGCCGAAGGAGAAGCCGAGAGCACUUAGCCGAAAGAGAAGCCGAGAGCAUCUACCUUGAGGAGAAGUCUAGAGCACCCAAUGUGAGAAGAGACCUAAACCCUAAACCCUAAACCCUAAACCACACGCAGCAUUCGUUCCCAUUUUAAUCUUAAAUUUCAUCUAGGUUUUGUUUCUGCUAGGUUUCAUCUUGCAUAAUAUUUAGUCUAUUUUUGUCUUUCUAUGUUCAUCACUUUUUUUCAAUUUUCCUACCUUGAUUGUUAGUUUCCAAAACUGAUAGUAGCAUAAUUAAUUGAAACAGUGGCGUGCAUUGCAGAAAAGUGCGUUCUGUUUUGUUCCUUGAAAAGCAAAUUUAGAAGCAAAUAGACCCAGAAAGAGGUUCAGAAAAAAAAGUUUAGUUAGAAAAAUGGAGUUUAGAAGUCUCUAAUUGUUCAUUUCAAUUUUUUAGUAUAGUUCGCUGAACUAAUCAGUAAUAGUUCAGUGUUGACGAGGAUAAAUUUGUUUUGUUUUAUGCUGGCACAGGUAAAAUAUAUUGUAAAAUUUCUAAAGCUUCUUCCAUUAACAAAUACAUGUGUCUUUUCUUAGAAGAAUUUCAAGUUAAAGUUGUAAUGUCAGAAGUAAAAGGUAUUUGCAAUGCUCACUGCUUCAAUUUUUUUUUUAUCAGCAAAGAAUUAAAAUUAAAUUUAAACGGGACAUUUCAGGGAUGUCCCAACCCUUAUACAAACCUCCUCCAUCACAUAUAGAUAAAACACAUGUGGAACAGAGUUAUAGAUAAACCUGAGAAACUUUGGCAUAGAAACAGGGAAAACCGAAAGCUAUUAACCAAAAAAGAUAAGUGCAACCAUGCAGCAAAAGCAGGAGGAAACUUCCCAGCACAGUGCUCCCUUCUGUAUCUCAAGGACCAUGAACCAGCGCUCACUAUGACACGUGGCACUUCCUAUCUUUCAACUUUAGCAUGCCAGCACCUGUUUGUAACUCCUGUAUCCUUUCAAGUGUCCUUGGGUUGCCUAUCUUACGUACUUGGCCUCAACAUUUGACCCAGUUAAUUCACCGAACACCGCCUACAAACUUGAGAACAAAAACCUGCACCAUGCAACGCCCGUUGGUUCAGACACAUUGACGCUCACCCCCCGUUUCGGCCUACUCCUUAGCAUCUCUGCUUACUCCACUCCAGCUAAUAGCAGUAACCAGAAAAUGCCGGAGCUCCUCUCCAACAGACCUGAUAAACCUUAAGGACUUGAUAACGGAGGUCAGACAUCCAACUUUUGUUCCAGCCUCCAUACCAGCUAAACCUUCUAGGUUUAUAAACUUCACGCAUCCUGCAAGAACACCCUACAACAGUACUUACCACGAGCUCAGCAAUCUGGGUGUUGCUUGCCCAGAGCACUCCACGCUAACAGAUUGUAUGCACUUCUUUGCUAAGACCUAAACCUGCUGUCACCGGAGAACCAUAAGGCACUGGUUCGGGUUCAAAAUCCAGUCAGAUAGCCCAUAUGAAAAAUCAGUUGUGUUGUGUUUUAUCCACAACCAGGAUUGUACUUGAGCAUUUUGGAAUACUUCGUCCGCAUCUGGUACCCCAUCCUUAAAAACUAUCAGGUUCCUCUGCUCCCAAAUGCACCUGAUAAUUAUCACCCACAAACCUAUCCACACUUGAUUUUGCUUGCUAGAGAGGUGGAUUAAGUGAAAGUUCAGCAUAUGGUUCCUAAUAUCCUUGUUAUGGGCCCCCAAAACACCAAUCCAGCGAUAGCAUCGAGACCAGACUUGUUGUGCAAGGGUGCAGUCAAGGAACAGGUGUUGGGAUGAUUCUACGGCCAGAUUACACACAGGGCAUAAGGAAGAGAUCAUGUGCACUCCUCUUCUAGAAAGGUUAACUCUGGUAGGAAUUCUGUCAUGAAGGACUCUCCAUGCAGUUAUAAGUGCUUUUGGUGAGGCUUUUGCUUGCCAUAAGGUACUGAACACUCCUUCGUUUUCCCCCGUAGCUUGGUGAUUGGCCAGAACAGAGUAGGCUGAUCUCACUGAAAAAAUUCCAGUUGGAUCCUUCCUCCAUACAAGGUGAUCGUGAGAGUCCUUACAUAUAACUCCCGUAUACAAGCUUGAGAGCAUAUUUUCCUCCAUGCUUGACUCCCAAUCAUACCUAUCCCUUCUCCAAUUAAGCUGCCACUGCCACCUAUCAUUCUCCCAUCCUCCUACCUCCCCCACCGUCUUACCCUGAUCAAGCGACAAAGAAUAGAGUCUAGGAUACAGGGCUUUUAGGCAAAAAUUUUGUAACCACGUGUCCUCCCAAAAACGGACUAGGCCUCCAUCGCCUAUUCUCCACACAAUGGCGUUGUGGAACCAAUCUUCCUCUUCCCCGUCACCACAUACCUUAGCUAGGUCCUUCCACCACCAUGAUUGGUAUCUCUUCCUUGUCUCUCCUCUAAUUGUUUCUGUACCAUAUUUAGAAACAAUAAUAUCCUUCCAUUUUCCUCCCUCAUUAUUCAUGAUCCUCCAUUUCCAUUUUGCCAAAAGAGCCGCAUUAAAGAACCUAGUCUCUUUAAUGCCCAACCCUCCUUCCUCCUUGUGCCUACAAAUAUUUUUCCAACUUACCCAAGAGAUUGAUUUAUUUUCACUACCCCAUGCCCAAAGGAACUUCCUUUGCAACCUGCAGAUGCUGUCAUGUACAGCUGCAGGGGCUUUAAAAAUAGAGAAGUAAAACAGAGGUAUGGCAGUGAACACCGACUGGAGCAGACAAAUUCGGCCCGCCAUAGAUAAGAAUUUUCCUUUCCAAGUACUAAGUCUGGACUCAAUUUUCUUUAUUACCGGCUCCCAAAACUGUUUCUUCCUCGGGUUUCCCCCCACUUCGACUCCCAGAUAUUUAAGAGGGAGCCGCAUGGUGUUACAGUUUAGGGUCUUCGCAUAGGUAUCCAGGGUAUAGCUGUCAACACUAAUGCCUACCAACUUCGAUUUGUGGAAAUUAACUUUCAAUCCAGACAGGAUUUCAUAGCACCGGAGGAUGGCUUUGAUAGAGAAAAUAUUUGAGAAGGAAUCUUCACACAUAAAAAGUGUAUCAUCUGCAAACUGAAGUAAGCAACACUCAAUACUGCUUCUUCCCACCUUUACUCCCCUGAGAACAUUCAUACGUAGCGCUUGUCUUACCAACCCUGCUAAACCUUCGGCUACCACUAGGAACAAGAAGGGAGCUAGGGGGUCCCCCUGCCUCAACCCCCUAGAAGGUUGGAAUUCCUCCGUAGGGCUCCCAUUGAUCAAGACAGAAACAGUCGACGACACCAAACACCCUUUAACCCACAAGAUCCAUUUAUCAUGAAAACCCAAUCUACAAAGCAUAUCAAACAAGAAAGACCACCUCACAGAGUCGUACGCCUUUUCAAAGUCUACCUUAAAACAGACCCCGCUCCUCCUAUUUAACUUUAACUCUUCUAAAAUUUCGUUAGCCAUAACAACACUACCCGUUAACCCUCUUCCACUAAGGAAGGCGGACUGACAAUCGUCAAUGAUCAUCGACAUAACUUUCCUCAUGCGUCGGGACAAGAUCUUUGUGAUUAUCUUAUAAAUAACUCCUACAAGAGAUAUCGGACGAAAUUGAUCUAGCGAGGAAGGGUCUCUAACCUUGGGGACAAGAGCAAUGAAGGAGGCAUUGCAACCUUUCGGAAAAGUUCCCGUAGCAUGAAAAAAGUGCACCGCUGCCAUAACAUCAGGCUUGAUCACAUCCCAAGAUGACUUAACAAAGUUGAAGUUAAAGCCAUCCGGGCCCGGGCUCUUAGACCCUCCACACUGCCACACAGCAUCCUUCACUUCAUCCUCGGAAAAAGUACUUGUCAUGUUCCUGCUCACCUCAGGAGAUAGAGAUUUAAAGUCCACUAUACCCAGAUUAAUGCCAUAGUCCUGUGUAGCCGUGAAGCGCUUUUCAAACAAAGACUUAGCUUCCCUACGAACAACAUCCGGUUCUUCACACCACAAACCGUCAAUCUCAACCCCUUUGACCUCAUUCUUAAGUCUUCUCCAUCUAAUUGCAUUGUGGAAGAAUUUUGAGUUAAUGUCCCCAUGCUUAAUCCAGUUCCCCCUCGCCUUUUGUCUGUAUAAUGAGUCUAACUUUUUCUCAAUCAACCCCAAUUGGCUGAAUAAUUCCAUUCUUCUCAACUUACCAUUUUCCACCAGAACAUCAUUGUCAUCUUUGACAUCAAGAUCCUCUAUUUCUGCCACAAUAUUUUUCUUUUUAAGUUCCAUACAGCCGAAUUCUUCUUUAUUCCACACUCUUAUAUCAGCCUUCAGGAGCUUCAAUUUAUCCUUAAGAGAGGACAUACUAUUGCCAUGAACAGAAUAUGAUCCCCAUUUUUCCUUUACCAGAGCCUUAAACCCCGGUUCUUCAAGCCAUACAUCUAAAGACCUAAACGGUUUAGGCCCCCAGUCUUUAACACACGACUUCAACACCAGGGCACAGUGGUCAGACACCAUUCUUGGUUGUACAUGUUGCUUAGAUGCAGGCCAUUGGUUGAGCCACUCCUCAGAGACCAAGAUUCUAUCAAGUCUACUCUUAGCCGUGCCAUUGGAUUUGAACCAAGUGUACUUUUUACCAACAAAGGGUAGGUCCACCAACCCAUUACUUUCAAUAAAGCAAUUAAAACCGUCAAUCUCCUUCUUUUGGCUUAAGCUACCUCUGAUCCCUUUCCUUUCAUCUUCACUCCUAACAGCGUUGAAAUCACCACAGACACACCACGCCAAGUUCACAUAUGUUUGCUUAAGAGCCGUCAAAGUUUCCCACAAAACACCCUUAUCCUUUAGGUUACACGCUGCAUAGACAUUUACCACUACGCACUGACGUUGAGCUUUCAGAUGUUGGCCCACAAUUGCAAUGUAACCUUUUCCAAUCACAUGGCUGCCAUACUCGAACACUUCUUUGCGCCACAUAGUUAUCAUACUCCCUGCCCCAUUAACCCCUUCGUAGUGGACCCAACCGAUACUACUUUCACCCCAUAAAGAGAAACACUUAGAAUCUGAAAAAGAUGUGGAUUUAGCCUCCUGCAGGCAUAAGAACUCAGCACCCUCCUUUCCCACAAUGUGUCUCAAGUACCGUGCUUUCGUCCCCCCUCCCAACCCUCUUAUAUUGAGAUUUACUAUAAUCAUGGACCCACUUUUUUCUUCCCCCCCUUAGACUUAUUGUUAACUUCAUUGUCUCUUACCUCCAAACGGCCCAAUUCUCCUACCACUCCCUCCGCAUCCCCUGAGCAUUGUAACCCCAAGUUUUGGCCUAACUCCCAAACUCUAACGGAUUCAGCAGCUUGCUCUUUUGACUUAAUCCGACUAUUACACAGAUUAAUAUCAUUAAUCGAUUCAGCAAAGGAGCAGCGACUUAACCUGGAUGAGGAGGUUACACCAUGGAGGGAUCCGAUACCGCCGUUGGUUCUCCAUUUUGGCUGGGCGAUUUUGCUCUCCAUCAAUCUACGAAAUUCCGGCGAGGUUUUGCUUGCCCCUUCUGUGUGGGUUGACGCCUUUUUCCCAUUAGUUGUCCCCAUUCCGCACCCCUCUCGUCGGCGAUUUGUGCUUACACUGGGCUGGGGAUCUGAACUUCCUGAUGAUGAAUCUUGCCCCUCACUAAAAUGAUGCGUUGCAUGGCAUGGGGAGAGACCCGAAUCCUUUUCCUGCACCAGCUCCACUGCUGAGAGGGCAACUCGCCCACUCAUUUUCGACGUAGAACAAAGGUGUGGAGGUGGAGACAAGGCCAGAACUCCAACCCCCUCCUCGUAACCCAUUUUUCGUUCCGAUUCCUCUUUCCAAAAAGGCACUGGGCCUCCCUCUUCUUCUUCUUUACUAGACGCACCCUGGCUCUCUAAUUGGGCUUCAACUUGCUUAGGCCCAAGAAGGUUUGCACUUUGAACCCCUUCAAGUAGGUUAACCAAGCAUUGUUGAAUUACUGUGCAGGCUGCGUUGACUUGGCUUGGAACUGAUAAAGCAGCCCCUCCCUCUGACUCCCCUAUCACUUGUUUUCCUUCUAUGACAGCUGCAUUAGCUAUGCUAGAAGCUGCUAAAGCAGCCCCUCCCUCGGACUCCCCUCGCACACGUUUUCCUUCAUUUAGAGACAAAAACCCACUUUUGUUCUGACAUCCCAUAUCACUCCGUGCCUUCUUGUCAAACUGCUUCCACUUUGUCUCCUGCUUCAGUUGGGAUUGCCCUACCUCCUCGGGUACCACACCCCACCGCCUGUUGCACUGGUUUCGGUCAGCACCUUCCUCUCCAGAGCUUCCUUCGGAAAAAGUUCCCUCCACAACAGUUUCCGACGACGAAAUGCUAUCCGAUGAGCCAAGAUGAUAUUCAAGACAAGAACAAUCUCCACUCCUUAAACUCAAGAUCUCUUCGACCAGGGAAAUGUUGUAAACUUGACCAUUAAUCCUAAAACCCUUCGCCAUUUCUGCUUUCUGAGAUCUAGGUAGCCGAACCAGCAAACGGGCGUACUCCAGAUUCUCCCAAGAAAGAGUAUUUUCAUCGAUAUCUACCAGCGAUGCUACCUCUCCAACCACCCUAGAGAAGCAAUCUUUAUUCCACAAAGUUAUCGGUACACCAAAACACCUCACCCAUACAAUUUUAUGGUCCACUACAUACUUUGCGGACCAGGGUUCGAUACUACCGAACAACGAUAGAAACCAUUCCUUGUUGAGCUCGAAGAGAUCUUCCAUCCGCUCUCCUUCCUUAGGAGUAAGUAGAAUAAGAUUAUCACCCAAAAACCUCAGUUUAAUCAUGUUCAUGCCCCCUUUAACGAACUCAUCCUUAAGGGAGUCGAAAGUAAGAUCAGGGGACAUCCAACCAACCGCACUACGAACCAACCAUGGUGGGGUAUUUGAUUUUGUUACAAAAACAGGGCCUUUCCAUUCGCCUCGCUCAGAUACGCGAACGGCAUCAGCAUAAGACUGUUUAAGGGAAGGGCCUCUACGAACUGCUUGCCCUGAUACAAAAAAUUUUUCACGCCAAACCUCCUUCCCCUUUGACCGACCCCCUGGGCCAUUGCCAUGACUGAAAUCACUUUGGCGCACCUUUGGCUUUUCCUUACUAAAAUCAACCUCUGGUCUCCUGUAUUUUGGGAGGUUAACAUAAAGUUUGAGGUUGCCAAUAUAGAUUUGAUCCAGCUGCUUCUCCAACCUCGCCUCAUUUGGCACUGGGAAGAAACUCACAAAGCCAAAUCUUCUACCCCAUCUAUUUGGACGUUUAGAUAUAAACACAUCUUUCACUCUAGCCCAUUUUUGAAAGAUUCUUAGCAUGUCUUGCUCCCCAUGACUAGUUGGGAAAUUAGAGAAGAAGAAAGUGCUUGAGUUUUUGGUUGAAGACUUUCCUGCCUUAUAAUCUGCCACUCUUCGCCGAUGAUCUUCCCUUUCCCACCUACUCCGAUCUUCCUUUUCCCACCUUCUCCGAUCGCCCAUCACUCUUUUGCUCACUGCUUCAAUGCUCACUGCUUCAAAUACAACUUCAAGUUGUAUGAAAGGAAGUUUAAAAGUAUUUACAUUUCACAACUCCCUUUGCUUCAAUUUCCCUCUCUCAUGUAAGAGUCACAAUUUCAAACCCUUUUACUUGUUUUCUCCGUAUUUCAUCGUAGAAUGGUUUUGUACAAAAAGACAUAGAAAGACCUAUGGAAGAAAUAGGGUUGAAACACAUGCAUAACAGUUACCAUCACUUCUAAAGGUUUGCAUCAAGGUAGAAUGAGAGGUCAAGAAGAAUAUCCCCAUAGAAUUGCUUAGAAUCCUUUGCCAACCGAAGAAGGUGUCUCCCUCCGGAUUCAGAUUGGAAUACUGUGAAAAAGAUAAUGUGAUUAUCAAUCAAAUCAUUAAUUUAAAAUUAACAAACCAACAAAAGAAAUCAGAAGACAAGUCAUGAAUUAUAUUAGCAUAAGAUUUUGUACAGCUACAUUUUUAGAUCAAUGUGUGGGAGAUCAAACAAAUCUCUGAUAAAUUAUAGUUUAACCAUAUUGCUUCAAUGAGAUUCGACAAUCACAUAGCUGAGAUCAGCUACAAUUUACUAUUGUCAGUUACUAGUGCAUUUGAUAUAUAUAUAUAUAUGUGUCUGUUACUAUUAGUAUAAUUGAUAAUAAUAAUAAUAAUAAUAAUAUUCUUAUUAUUAUAAAUAAUAUUAAUAAUAAUAAUAACAAGUGUUAAUAAUAAUAAUAAAAUUAAUAAAAAGUAAUAUAAAUAAUAAUAAAUAUUAUUAUUUUAAUAUUACACCGUGCAUUAGUAGGUAUAUGCCAUUCACAUGGUUAAGGCCUGCAUUAGGAUUUUAGGUAAUAUGUCUAAACAAUAUAUGUCUAAUCAUAUGGAUGGAAUUUCGCUCUUAAAAGUUAUUUUUGACAUUAGCACGAGCCUAGUAAGGUUUUUAUUCAUGUACAAGUGUAUUGAGACUUUCCUGUUGUAUGUUGGGUUAAAGUGAACAUUGAUGAUGAUGCUUGAGAGUCUCCUAACCCUGCUGCUUGUGCAAGUAUCCUUAAAGGAAGUCACGAGGACUAUAUUGGUGGUCUUGUAUGUUCCUGUUUCUUACCAAAAUUUUGAUUUGAUCUCCACAUGUUUUUUAUCUUUUUAUGUUAUGUUUCAUGUAAUAUUGACAAAAAAAACAUCUUUAACAGCAAACAGUCAUGGCUUAACAAGUGUAUCUUUGAACUACUUUGGCUAUGCAUCAUGAGCGAAAGCAUUGAUGGAAAACAACAUUUUGAUGUUGAAUUUGUUGAGCAGUGCUACAUGGAAGUUUCUUGUACGAAAGUAGUUUAGAAAUAACAGAAAAAAGUGAACCACCAAUGCAUGCUGCUGUCAUGCUAGGAAUAGUACAAUACAGGGUUUGUAUACAUACACAAGUCAACAAAUAGUUGUUAAGUCUUCCAUUGACAUUCAGAACUAAAGAGAAGUACAGAGUGUGACUUUGGAAGAGGUGUGGAAGAAAUAAGGUACAAAGAAACGCAUAACACCCAAAAGGGUAACAUCUCCUGAAGGCUCGAUUCACAUAAAGUCUAAGCACAUUGUUCAGUGUCCUGCUCAGAAUUCUGGUGAGCUGAAGAGACUUCCUUCUACUCCCUCCAUACAUACAAACAAAUACUGUAAACAAGAUAGUGUGAUUAACUCAUUCACUUCAAAAUCAAGACCCCAAAAAAGAAUGUACAUCAGCAUACAAAUUUUUUAGAGCUUCAUAUUUAGAUUUUUCCAAUUAAAGUGCAGUGCUAAAGCUUCACAACACAAUGCUAAUUGCAUUCACUGCUAGCUCCAUGUUUAGAUUAAAAAUAUGCGAAAUUAAACAAAUUUAAGAUAAAUUAUUGUUGAGCCAUAUUGAUUAAAGGAGAUUCUGCAAUGGGGUUGGAGUAGCUACAUACAGCUUGAAUUGAGUAUGGUUAGUGAGUGAUGUAGUUGAUGAAUGAUAAAGCACAUGUCUCUGCCAUUAAUGUAUAUUCUAAUUCCUACUUUCAGAAGCAACUAAGAAAAUUGUAAUCGAAAAGGUACAAAAUAUUGUGGAGAAUUAGAACCUGUUGAAGUGGCAGACAAAUUGAAAUAGGUGCACGCCUAAUUUUGAACUUGUCACUCAUCUUAUGGCCAAACAUCUAAUUUUUUAUGCACGCCUAAUUCUGACAACGCUCCUCCAGCAAUGGACAAUUAAAGAUUUCAAGAGAAGAGAUGGAUUUGGGGAGACCCUCCGCUGGUAAGCAUUCAAGGCUGGGACAAAAAAGAAGUGAGAGAGAGGAGAGGUGGCAGAGACCCUUGUAGUGCAUCUUUUUAAGAUUUUGGCAAUAUUGGAUUUCUAGAGAGGUGAGAGAGCGUGGCAGCAAAACUUCAUCGGGAAAACACUCCACCUCCAACUGUUGAAUAGUCAAGCUUUGAAGACAUGUGUUGGGAUCCAAGUUGUCUCUCAAGGAGGCGAUAAGUUUUAAACAUGAAAGAGACAUUUCUUUUAUAUUUAAUGGCAAACCUCCAUCUGGGAACAACUCAACUUCUGGACACAUAGUUAUAUGCAGCAAGGUAAGGGACGGAAACAUGAUUUGCAUGGGUUUGGGAAAAAAGAAUGAUUUAAAUUGAGGGCAAUCUUCAAUAGGUAGAUCCAUGAGAUGAUUAUGAGCGUACUCCUGUGAAAUUCUUUCUAUGUGGUGGCAGUAUAUCAGUUGAAGAGAACGGAGCUUUGGAAAGAAAUGUAGUGGAAAGAUUGUAAGAGAGUCGGUGCCUCCAUCAGUAUGCGAUGUGUCCAUACUGUUUCCGCUAAUUCUGAGCUCAUCACUAACAACUACUUUCUUUAAAUCAGUACCUUUCAGUUUCGGACAUUUAUCCACAUGAAGCUUUUGAAGACGUGGAAAAGACGUAGUUUUACACUCCCAUUCUUCCCAUUCCUUCAUAUUGUAGAAGUGGAAAUGAAGUGAAAUGGAUUGAGUGGAGGAAUGAAUGGUAUAGUGAUGAAUGAAAAGAGUAGUUAGAAAAGAUGACUUGACUUUAAGAACAUGUUUUUCUUUUAUGGCAACUCAACCAAUAUAAAAUGUGAGCUGUUGGAUAUUCAUUCAACGGUUGUGAUGAAUGAACGAAUGGAAAGAGGGUUGUGGGCCCCAGUGAAGUAGUAAUUGUUAACUGUUUCUGAUGUACUAAAUUUGAGAGUUAUUUUUUAUAUGAAAUUAGCUUUCAGAUUAUAUAAUUCAGAAGUUUUUUUUUUUAAUUGCGUGAUUAGCUUUUGGAUUAUAUAAUUUAUAGGUAUUUUAAAUCAAAAAAAACUUAAGGAUUUUAUAAAUAUAAAAAAAAAGAAUAAAAUGGUAUUUUUAUAUUUAGUAUGGAGGUAGAAGGUAUUGAAGUUGAGGAAGAAGCAGUCUUGAUCAUCACACACAAGUGCUAAUAACCAACCAAAUAUAGUGGUCCACAAAACUCAAGACGAAAGAAAAAAUGAGAACCUAGAGCAGUGCACUCCAAUGGAGGAGAAGGAAAACCAAAAUCUAUUUUUAAUUUUAAAACCCUAGAGGGUAAUUUCGUCUUACCCAGCCUAUUCCAUUACAAAUUAAUGGGUUAACUUCAUUUUUUAAAAAUGGUAACGUUUUAGUUUAGUUUUUUUUUCUCUUAUUAUUUUCUAAUAUGAAAACUAAAAUCAAUAUGCAUAUAUUGACUAUAAUAUAUAUGUAUAUGUAUAUGUAUAAUAAUAAUAAUAAUAUCAAUAAAUGGAAAUUCUAAAUAUAUAUCAUAUAAAAAACACUAAAUAAUAAUUAGAAAUAACAUUCAAAUAAAAUCUAAAUAAUUAUCUCAAAAGUCAAUCCAACAUAUUCCUUUUGAAACAUAAAAUCUAAAUAGGAAAAUACAAUCCAAAAUCAUAAAAAUAUAUUACUAUCCAAUAUCAAUAAUUCACGUCUCUAGCCUUUACGUAAUAUUAGGGUUAGAGUCUUGAAUGCAAUAAUAAAGAUUAUAUUUUUUUUUUUAUCCCCAUAUACAAUAAGAAUUUUUUAAUUAUAAAAGAUUAAGUAAUAAAUAAUUAAACUAAUGGUACCUGUUCUAUAUUAUGUAACUAAUUUUGAGUUAAAAUAAAUGUCUCGAUAUUUUUUUGAAGGAUAGAACANNNNNNNNNNNNNNNNNNNNNNNNNNNNNNNNNNNNNNNNNNNNNNNNNNNNNNNNNNNNNNNNNNNNNNNNNNNNNNNNNNNNNNNNNNNNNNNNNNNNNNNNNNNNNNNNNNNNNNNNNNNNNNNNNNNNNNNNNNNNNNNNNNNNNNNNNNNNNNNNNNNNNNNNNNNNNNNNNNNNNNNNNNNNNAUAUUAUAUAUAUAUAUAUAUAUAUAUAUAUAUAUAUUGUAAAAACUUUCAUGUUAGACAUUAUUAUGUAACUUGACAUCUCAGGUAGGUUGACAUUAUAAAAACAGAUUCACAAAACUGUACUCAAAUAAAAGUAAUCAACCAAAAUUAGCAAUAAAAGGACUACAAGGAAUUGAUGACAUUGUAGGAAAAACAUGACUAGACAAAACAAAUAUGGAUUCUAAAAUCAAAAUGACUCAAACACAAUGAAUUUCACCAAUUAAAAAUAGCAAGAAAGACUCAAAAUAAAGCAAAAACAGAAUUACUAACACAAAAACAGAAUCAAAGUAUCCAACAACUCAAAAAAAAAUUUCAGCACAACCAUAACACUAGAUACCACAUGAUAUGAGCUGGAUUGACACUAAACAAGAUACACAACAUAUAAGGAGGCUUAAGGUCAUCUCAAUGGAGGAUAAUGCCAUCCAAAAGAGAAGCCAAACUCAUUCAAACAAUGAGUGCCACGUCAUUAUCACAAACACUUGGCGGAAUUGAAAGGAAAGCAAGAACAAAAUAAGAACACAAAUAGAAAAACAAUUGAAAUGUGUAAUUGCAAAAACUGGACAGAAUUGAAAGAAGAAAUGAAUCUAUCUAUUGAAAUUGAAGAAACAAGAUGAAGGAAGAUGAAACUUAUGUGGUUGAAGCUUGGUUUGGGAAAUGGACACGCCACUUGGAUGAUGAAUGUUCCAAGAUAAGUGCAGAUUUGCCGCCACUUGAAUGCUCCCAAUGCAUCACAAGAUAAGACAAGGAAGAGGAGAACUAGUCUCACAAUCACUCACAAAUUGAGCAUAGUAACUUUACUCUAUUUUCAAAUCUGAAUUUUACAAGAGCAAGCACCUCUAUUUAUAGCCUUAGAGGUGCUGAAAUAAAAAGCUAAUCAAAUUCAAAUUUCCCUCUAAAUCUAAUUCAAAUUUGGAGCCAAACUUGAGUCACAUGGAAGGUGUGACCUUAUGUUGGGCUUGGGCCUCAUAUUUUUAAGAAGACUACUAGGAAGAACUUCAACUAUUGUUGUCCUUGACCAUUCCUCUUAUUGAUGGCCUCUGUAACUGCUUGUUGAGAAUACCUUUAGAGUAUAGCAUCCUUGGUCAUCUUCAUGUAUUUUUCAUUCUCAUCACCUUUUGUGAUUUGGUUAUGGAUGUGCCUCCUUACCUGAGCGCAAACAACAUAUGAAAGUUCUUGUGUGAAUUUUUUCAGCGCAAUACGGACCCAGAAUAAAAUUGCACAAAGUUGGGCGAAAUUUCACUAGUUUUGGUAGAGGAUAGCCUUUGGUUUGCACAAAAUUUAUGAAAAAUUCUCCCGAAAUAGUUUUUUCCUGAAAUUCCACGUAAGAAUCUCCACUGAAUUUGGGACAAAACGCGAAAAAUUUCUGGUCAAACGGAUGAGUAUUCACCCACGAAAAAAUCAAACAGUUUCACACACAAACGAACCUUCCUUUCAGCCAUGACAGUGAUGAAUAAAAAGUUUAUUGCCAAUCUUGUGGGACGAAUGUGGAGCUCAAGUCUCAGCCAAACCUCAAUAGACACAGUGACACGUCUGGUAAAAAUUUCAGACCAAAAUACCCAAGGAGUAAGGCGUAGUAAGUCCCAGACCGAGAGUGAACAAAACUAGUUUUCCGAAACAAAACGUCCUGGCUUUUCUUCCCCGUAUCUUCCUUCUGUGAUUUGUUUAUUCAGCGCAAUACAAACCCAGAAUAAAAUUGCAGAAAGUUGGGCGAAAUUUCACAAGUUUUGGUAGAGGAUAGCCUUUGUUUUGCACAAAAUUUCUGAAAAAUACUCCCGAAUUAGAUUUUUCCUGAAAUUCCACGUAAAAAUCUCAAUUGAAAUUCGGAAAAAACGCGACAAAUUUCGGGUCAAAUGGAUGAGUAUUCACCCACGAAAACAUCAAACAAUUUCACACACAAACGAACCUUCCUUUUAGCCCUAGCAGUGAUAAAUAAAAGUUUAUUGUCAAUCUUGUGGGACGAAUGUGGAGCUCAAGACACAACUAAAACUCAAUAGACACAGUGACGAACGUCUGGUAAAAGUUUCAGACCAAAAUACUCAAGGAGUAAGGCGUAGUAAGUCCCAGACAGAGAGUGAACAAAAUUGGUUUUCCGAAAACAAAACGUCUUGGUUGCAAACAACAUAUGAAAGUACUUGUGUGAAUUUUUUCAACACAAUACGGACUCAAAAUAUAAUUGCAGAAAGUUGGGCGAAAUUGAAGAAGUUUUGGUAGGGGAUAACGUUUGGUUUGCAAAAAAAUUUCUGAAAAAUUCUCCAAAAAUAGUUUUUUCUUGAAAUUAACCGUAAGAAUCUCCACUGAAUUUGGGACAAAACGCGACAAAUUUCGGGUCAAACGGAUGAGUAUUCACUAACGAAAAAAAUCAAACAGUUUCACACAUAAACGAACCUUCCUUUCACACAUUGCAGUGAUGAAUAAAAAAUUUAUUGCCAAUCUUGGGGGACGAAUCUGGAGCUCAAGUCUCAGCCAAAACUCAAUAGACACAGAGAUCAACGUCUGGUAAAAAUUUCAGACCAAAAUACCCAAGGAGUAAGGCGUAGUAAGUCCCAGACCGAGAGUGAACAAAACUGGUGUUCCGAAAACAAAACGUCCUGGCUUUUCUUCCCCGUAUCUUCCUUUUGUGAUUUGUUUGUGGACGUGCCUCCUUACCUGGGUGCAAACAACAUAUGAAAGUACUUGUGUGACUUUUUUCAGCGCAAUACGGACCCAGAAUAAAAUUGCACAAAGUUGGGCGAAAUUUCACAUGCUUUGGUAGAUGAUAGCCUUUGGUUUGCACAAAAUUUCUGAAAAAUUCUCCUGAAAUAGUUUUUUCCUGAAAUUCCACGUAAGAAUCUCCAUUGAAUUUGGGACAAAACGAGACAAAUUUCGGGUGAAACGGAUGAGUAUUCACCCACGAAAAAAAUCAAACAGUUUCACACAAAAACGAACCUUCCUUUUAGCCCUGGCAGUGAUGAAUAAAAAAUUUAUUGCUAAUCUUGCGGGACGAAUCUGGAGCUCAAGUCUCAGCCAAAACUCAAUAGACACAGUGACGAACGUCUGGUAAAAAUUUCAGUCCAAAAUCCCCAAGGAGUAAGGCGUAGUAAGUCCCAGACCGAGAGUGAACAAAACUGGUUUUCCGAAAACAAAACGUCUGGCUUUUGUUCCCCGUAUCUUCCUUUUGUGAUUUGUUUAUGGACGUGCCUCCUUACCUGGGUGCAAACAACAUAUGAAAGUACUUGUUGAGUUUUUUCAGCGCAAUACGGACCCAGAAUAAAAUUGCACAAAGUUGGGCGAAAUUUCACAAGUUCUAGUAGAGGAUAGCCUUUGGUUUGCACAAAAUUUAUGAAAAAUUCUCCCGACAUAGUUUUUUCCUGAAAUUCCACGUAAGAAUCUCCACUGAAUUUGGGACAAAACGCGACAAAUUUCGGGUCAAACGGAUGACUAUUCACCCACGAAAAAAAUUAAACAGUUUCACACAUAAUUGAACCUUCCAUUCAGCUCUGGCUGUGAUGAAUAAAAAAUUUAUUGCCAAUCUUGCAGGACGAAUCUGGAGCUGAAGUCUCAGCCAAAACUCAAUAGACACAGUGACGAACGUCUGCUAAAAAUUUCAGACCAAAAUACCAAGGAGUAAGGCGUAGUAAGUCCCAGACCGAGAGAGAACAAAACUGGUUUUUCGAAAAGAAAACGUCCUGGCUUUUCUUCCCCUCAUCUUCCUUUUGUGAUUUGUUUAUGGACGUGCCUCCUUACCUGGAAGCAAACAACAUAUGAAAGUACUUGGGUGAGUUUUUUCAGCGCAACACGGACCCAGAAUAAAAUUCCACAAAGUUGGGCGAAAUUUCACAAGUUUUGGUAGAGGAUAGCCUUUCGUUUGCACAAAAUUUAUGAAAAAUUCUCCUGAAAUAGUUUUUUCCUGAAAUUCCACGUAAGAAUCUCCACUGAAUUUGCGACAAAACGUGACAAAUUUCGGGUCAAACGGAUGAGUAUUCACCAACGAAAAAAAUCAAACAGUUUCACACAAAAACGAACCUUCCUUUCAGCCCUGGCAGUAAUGAAUAAAAAAAUUAUUGCCAAUCUUGCGGGACGAAUUUGGAGCUCAAGUCUCAGCCAAAACUCAAUAGACACAGUGCCGAACGUCUGGUAAAAAUUUCAGACGAAAAUACCCAAGGAGUAAGGCGUAGUAAGUCCCAGACUGAGAGUGAACAAAACCGAUUUUCCGAAAACAAAACGUCCUGGCUUUUUUUUCCCGUAUCUUCCUUUUGUGAUUUGUUUAUGGACGUGCCUCCUAACCUGGGUGCAAACAACAUCUGAAAGUACUUGUGUGAGUUUUUUCAGCGCAAUACGGACCCAGAAUAAAAUUACACAAAGUUGGGCGAAUUUUCACAAGUUUUGGUAGAGGAUAGCCUUUGGAUUGCAGAAAAUUUCUGAAAAAUACUUCCGAAAUAGUUUUUUCCUAAAAUUCCACGUAAGAAUCUCCACUGAAUUUGGGACAAAACGUGACACAUUUCGGGUCAAACGGAUGAGUAUUCACCCACGAAAACAAUCAAACAGUUUCACCCACGAAAAACAUCGAACAGUUUCACACACAAACAAACCUUACUUUUUGCUCUGGCAUUGAUGAAUAAAAAAUUUAUUGCCAAUCUUGUGGGACAAAUCUGGAGCUCAAGUCUCAGCCAAAACUCAAUAGACGCAGUGACGAACGUCUGCUAAAAAUUUCUUUCCAAAAUACCAAAGAAGUAAGGCGUACUAAGUCCCAGACCGAGAGUGAACAAAACUGGUUUUCCGAAAACAAAACGUCUUGGCUUUUCUUCCACGCAUCAUACUUUUGUGAAUUGUUUAUGGACGUGCCUCCUUACCUGGGUGAAAACAACAUAUGAAAGUACUUGUGUGAGUUUUUUCAGCGCAAUACGGACCCAGAAUAAAAUUGCACAAAGUUGGGCGAAAUUUCACAAGUUUUGGUAGAGGAUAGCCUUUGGUUUGCCCAAAAUUUAUGAAAAAUUCUCCCGAAAUAGUUUUUUCCUGAAAUUCCACGUAAGAAUCUCCACUGAAUUUGGGACAAAACGCGACAAAUUUCGGGUCAAAUGGAUGAGUAUUCACCCACGAAAAAAAUCAAACAGUUUCACACACAAACGAACCUUCAUUUCACCCCUGGCAGUGAUGAAUAAAAAAUUUAUUACCAAUCUUGCGGGACAAAUCUGGAGCUCAAGUCUCAGCCAAAACUCAAUAGACACAGUGACGAACGUCUGGUAAAAAUUUCAUACCAAAAUACCCAAGGAGUAAGGCGUAGUAAGUCGCAGACCGAGAUUGAACAAAACUGGUUUUCCGAAAACAAAACGUCCUGAUUUUUCUUCCCUGUAUCUUCCUUUUGUGAUUUGUUUAUGGUCGUGUCUCCUUACCUGGGUGCAAACAACAUAUGAAAGUACUUCUGUGAGUUUUUUCAGCCCAAUACAGACGCAGAAAAAAUUACACAAAGUUGGGCGUUAUUUCACAAGAUUUGGUAGAUGAUAGCCUUUCGUUUGCACAAAAUUUAUGAAAAAUUCUCCCGAAAUAGUUUUUUCCUGAAAUUCCACGUAAGAAUCUCCACUGAAUUUGGGACAAAAUGCGACAAAUUUCGCAUCAAACGGAUGAGUAUUCACCCGCGAAAAAAUCAAACAGUUUCCCACACAAACGAACCUUCCUUUCAGCCCUGGCAGUGAUGAAUAAAAAAUUUAUUACCAAUCUUGCGGGAUGAAUCUAGAGCUCAAGUCUCAGCCAAAACUCAAUAGACACAGUGACGAACGUCUGGUAAAAAUUUCAGACGAAAAUACCCAAGGAGUAAGGCGUAGUAAGUCCCAGACCGAGAGUGAACAAAACCGAUUUUCCGAAAACAAAACGUCCUGGCUUUUCUUCCCCGUAUCUUCCUUUUCUGAUUUGUCUAUGGACGUGCCUCUUUACCUGGGUGCAAACAUCAUAUGAAAGUACUUGUGUGAGUUUUUUCAGAGCAAUACGGACCCAUAAUCAAAUUGCACAAAGUUGGGCGAAAUUUCACAAGUUUUGGUAGAGGAUAGCCUUUGCUUUGCCCAAAAUUUAUGAAAAAUUCUCCCGAAAUAGUUUUUUCUUGAAAUUCCACGUAAGAAUCUCCACUGAAUUUGGGACAAAACGCGACAAAUUUCGGGUGAAACGGAUGAGUAUUCACCCACGAAAAAAUCAAACAGUUUCACACACAAACGAACCUUCAUUUCAGCCCUGGCAGUGAUGAAUAAAAAAUUUAUUGCAAAUCUUGCGGUACGAAUCUGGAGCUCAAGUCUCAGCCAAAACUGAAUAGACACAGUGACGAACGUCUGGUAAAAAUUUCAUACCAAAAUACCCAAGGAUGAAGGCGUAGUAAGUCCUAGACCGAGAGUGAACAAAACUGGUUUUCCGUAAACAAAACGUCCUGGCUUUUCUUCCACGCAUCUUCCUUUUCUGAUUUGUUUAUGGACGUGCCUCCUUACCUGGGUGCAAACAACAUAUGAAGGUACUUGUGUGAGUUUUUUCAGCGCAAUAUGGACCCAGCAUAAAAUUGCACAAAGUUGGGCGAAAUUUCACAAGUUUUUGUAGAGGAUAGCCUUUGGUUUGCACAAAAUUUAUGAAAAAUUCUGCCGAAAUAGUGUUUUCCUGAAAUUCCACGUAAGAAUCUCCACUGAAUUUGGGACAAAACGCAACAAAUUUCGGGUCAAACGGAUGAGUAUUCACCCACGAAAAAAAUCAAAUAGUUUCACACACAAACGAACCUUCAUUUCAGCCCUGGCAGUGAUGAAUAAAAAAUUUAUUGCCAAUAUUGUGGGACGAAUCUGGAGCUCAAGUCUCACCCAAAACUCAAUAGACACAGUGACGAACGUCUGGUAAAAAUUUCACACCAAAAUGCCCAAGGAGUAAGGCGUAGUAAAUCCCAGACCGAGAGUGAACAAAACUAGUUUUCCGAAAACAAAACGUCCUCGCUUUUCUUCCCCAUAUUUUUCUUUUGUGAUUUGUUUAUGGAAAUGCCUCCUUACCUGGGUGCAAACAACCUAUGAAAGUACUUGUGUGAGUUUUUUCAGCGCAAUACAUGAUGAGAAUUAAAUAAAGGAGGCCUAUAGUAAUGAAGGACAAGGUCACUCGCCCUCACACUUAAAAAUCUUGUUAUUAAUCUUUGCAAAAGUUGAAGCCCAAGCCCAAGAAGCCCAAGCAAAUCCCAAGCCCAAAGCUCAAGCCCAUAUCUCAAGCCCAAAAAAGGCCAUGCCAAGCCCAAGUUCAAACCAUGAAGGGAAGGCCAAACAAUAAAUAAAAGAGCAUCAUGUGAAUUGCUUUUGGAUAGUUAUAGGAGGUAUGAAUAUUAAAUAAAGAGUGUGAGCUUAGUAAGGGGGGUGUAGAAAUAAUAAGGAGGUGCCAAAGUGAGAGAGGAAGUCACACCUUCCUCAUGUCUAUAGUUGGCGCCACUUUCAUGUAAUUUGGGGGGGAAUUUUGAAUUUGAUUAGCUUUGCAUUUCAGCACCUCUAGGCUAUAAAUUAAGGUGUUGCCCUUGUAUUUUUCAGAUUUGAAUUUUGAUUAGAGAAACUAUACUCAAUUUUUGAGAAAGCAUUGGAGAGCUUUGUGCCUUCCUCACUAGUCUUAUCUUGAGAGUUCAAUGGUUACCUCAAGUGGCGGCUUGCACACUCAUCUUGGAGUCACCAUCCUCUAAGUGGCGUGAUCAUCCAACCAUUCCUCCAUCUUCAUGAGCUUUCUCUUCUCCUUCCUUCCUUCUCUUUUAAUUGUUCAUGUCUUGGCUUGCUUCCUUUGAUUUUCUAUUCGGCAUUUUCAAUUCUUACGAGUUUUGCUUCAGUUCAUUUGCUUCCUUGCUGUUCUUCAUUGUUUCUUCUUCAUUUCUAGUCUUUAUGUUCGGUUCAAUUCAGUUCUAAUCCAUUUUGUUCGGUGCAUUUGCUUUUCCUUCCAUUUUAAUCGGUUCAAUUUGACAAUAAUUGGAACUUCCAUAUGAGUUUGGGUUUUGGUACUAGUUUUGGUGAGUUCUUGUUCAUAGAACCUUGAUCCAAUUCUAUGAUAAAGUGCCUAUCUCAUAUCCAACUCAAGUUGAUUCCUAAGAAUGUCAAGAAUCAUUCAUAUUGUGCUAUUGGAAUCUCAUCAAUACGGACCCAGAAUAAAAUUUCACAAAGUUGGGCAAAAUUUCACAAGUUUUGGUAGAGGAUAGCCUUUGGUUUUCACAAAAUUUCUGAAAAUUCUCCCGAAAUAGCUUUUUCCAGAAAUUCCACGUAAGAAUGUCCACCGAACUUGGGACAAAACGCGACAAAUUUCGAGUCAAACGGAUGAAUAUUCACCCACGAAAAAAAUCAAACAGUUUCACACACAAACGAACCUUCCUUUUAGCCCUGGCAGUGAUGAAUAAAAAAUUUAUUGCCAAUCUUGUGAGACGAAUCUGGAGCUCAAGUCUUAGCCAAAACUCAAUAGACACAGAGACAAACGUCUGGUAAAAAUUUCAGACCAAAAUACCCAAGGAGUAAGGCGUAGUAAGUCCCAGACCGAGAGUGAACAAAACUGGUGUUCCGAAAACAAAACGUCCUGGCUUUUCUUCCCCGUAUCUUCCUUUUGUGAUUUGUUUAUGGACGUGCCUCCUUACCUGGGUGCAAACAACAUAUGAAAGUACUUGUGUGAAUUUUUUCAGCGCAAUACAGACCCAAAAUAAAAUUUCAUAAAGUUGGGCGAAAUUUCACAAGUUUUGGUAGAGGAUAGCAAUUGGUUUGCACAAAAUUUCUGUGAAAAUUCUCCCGAAAUAGUUUUUUCCUGAAAUUCCACGUAAGAAUCUCCACUGAAUUUGGGACAAAUCGCGACAAAUUUCGGGUCAAACGGAUGAGUAUUCACCCACGAAAAAAAUCAAACAGUUUCACACACAAACGAACCUUCCUUUCAGCCCUGGCAGUGAUGAAUAAAAAAUUUAUUGCCAAUCUUGUGGGACAAAUCUGGAGCUCAAGCCCUAGCCAAAACUCAAUAGACACAGUGACGAACGUCUGGUAAAAAUUUUAGACCGAAAUACCGAACGAGUAACUCAUAGUAAGUCCCAGACCGAGAGUGAACAAAACUGGUUUUCCGAAAACAAAACGUCCUGACUUUUCUUCCCCGUGUCUUCGUUUUGUGAUUUUUUUAUGGACGUGCCUCCUUACCUAGGUGCAAAGAACAUAUGAAAGUACUUGUGUGAAUUUUUUCAGCGCAAUACGGACCCAAAAUAAAAUUUCACAAAGUUGGGCGAAAUUUCACAAGUUUUGGUAGAGGAUAUCCUUUGGGGUGCACAAAAUUUCUGAAAAAUUCUCCUGAAAUAGUUUUUUCCUGAAAUUUUACAUAAGAAUCUCCACUGAAUUUGGGACAAAACGCGACAAAUUUCGGGUCAAACGGAUGACUAUUCACCAACGAAAAAAAUCAAACAGUUUCACACACAAACGAACCUCUCUUUCAGCCCUGGCAGUGAUGAAUAAAAAAUUUAUUGCCAAUCUUGUGGGACGAAUCUGGAGCUCGAGUCUCAGCCUAAACUCAAUAGACAUAGUGACGAUUGUCUGGUAAAAAUUUCAAACCAAAAUUCCCAUGGAGUAAUGCGUAGUAAGUCCCAGACUGAGAGUGAACAAAAUUGGUUUUCCGAAAACAAAACGUCCAUGCUUUUCUUCCCCGUAUCUUCCUUUUGUGAUUUGUUUAUGGAUGUGCCGCCUUACCUGGGUGCAAACAAUAUAUGAAAGUACUUGUAAGAAUUUUUUCAGCACAAUACGGACCCAGAAUAAAAUUGCAGAAAGUUGAGCGAAAUUUCACAAGUUUUGGUAGAGGAUAGCAUUUGGUUUGCACAAAAUUUCUGAAAAAAUCUCCCGAAAUAGUUUUUUCUUGAAAUUCCUCAUAAGAAUCUCCACUUAAUUUGGGACAAAACGCGAAAAAUUUUGAGUCAAACGAAUGAGUUUUCACACACGAAUGAACCUUCCUUUCAGGCCUGACAGUGAUGAAUAAAAAAUUUAUUGCCAAGCUUGUGGGACGAAUCCGGAGCUCAAGUCUCUUCCAAAAUACAAUAGACACAGUGACGAACGUCUGUUAAAAAUUUCAGACCAAAAUAUCCAAGGAGUAAGGCGUCGUCAGUCCCAGACCGAGAGUGAACAAAACUGGUUUUCCGAAAACAAAACGUCCUGACUUUUCUUUCUUGUAUCUUCCUUUCGUAAUUGGUUUAUGGACGUGCCUCCUUACCUGUGUGCAAACAACAUAUGAAAGUACUUGUGUGAAUUUUUUCAGCGCAAUACGGACCCAGAAUAAAAUUGCAGAAAAUGGGGCAACAUUGCACAAGUUUUGGUAGAGGAUAGCCUUUGAUUUGCACAAAAUUUCUAAAGAAUUCUCCCGAAAUAGUUUUUUCCUGAAAUUCCACGUAAGAAUCUGCACUAAAUUUGGGACAAAACGCGAAAAAUUUCUGGUCAAACAGAUGAGUAUUCACCUACGAAAAAAAUCAAACAGAUUAAUACACAAACGAACCUUCAUAAUUUUUAAUUGUGUUUAAAAAAUUUAUUGCCAAUCUUGUGGGACGAAUCCUACGAAGGUUCGUUUCUUUGUGAAACUGUUUUAUUUUUUUUUCUAACUAAAUUCUCAUCUGUUUAAGCUGAAAUUUAUUGCAUUUGGUCCCAAAUUUUGUUGGGAUUCUUACACAGAAUUUCAAUGAGAAACUAUUUCGGGAAAAAAAUUCUGAAAUUUCUUGCACUCCAAAACUAUCCUCUUUCCAGAUUUGUGAAAUUUUUCCCUAAUUUAUGCAAUUUUGUUUUGAGUUCAUAUUACGUUGACCUUGUUAAGAAUAUUUCCCAGCAUUCCUCCUCGAGGUAAAGAAUAGAUGUCAAAUGUCAAUCACACCCAAGUAAUGAAUAGAUGUCAGAUGUCACAAUUUGUCUAUCCUCAUAAAAGGAUUUAUUAAAUUAUCCAUUGUUCGCGUUCCCGAAGGUCCCUCUCUUUUAAGAGAAUUCACGGCAUGUUAAAUCCUUGUAAAAAUAUUGUAGAUUUUAGGUAUUAUAUAAUACAAAAAAUUUAAAAAGAAAGAUUUCUGACUAAAAUUUUCCUAAAAGAGGUUAGGGUAGAUGUAAAAGCAAAAUGUAAUAUCUAUUCGUUGAUAAAAGUAGGAUUUAUUUUCUUUGUAAGUGAUUUUUUUUUUCAAAAGCAUGCAUAAAAUGAAACUUUUGAACUACACUAGAAACAAAUUGAGAAACAUUCAUUAGAAAAAAAGAAGAUUAAAAAAAGUGUACAAGUUCGUUAGAAAAUAUAAGAAAAGUAAGAAAAAGAUUAAAUACAUGUGUUUAUUUAUCCUAAUUAUUUUUUGUCUCUAAAAUUGGUUUAUAUUUCAUGAUUUUUUUUCUAGUGUAUGUAGUUAUGUGUUCGCAUGGAUUUCAAAAUUUCUCAUAUUUUAGGAAAGGAAAUAAUUGUGAACUGCUUUUGCUCUGCAUGAUGAGUGAGAGCAUUGAUGGACAACAAAUAUAAUUGAAACAGUAACAUACAAAUAAGAAAAGUGGGUUCUAUUUUAUUCCUUCAAAGACAAGUUUAGAAUCAAAUAGACCCACCAAGAGGUUCAACAAAAGAGUUUGGUUCAGAAAUCCACUUUCCAAUCUACAAUGUUCUAAGAAUUAAUGUUUAAAGUAUUUGCAUUUCAAAACUCCAUUCUAAGAAUUAAGGGUUGUAUAGGNNNNNNNNNNNNNNNNNNNNNNNNNNNNNNNNNNNNNNNNNNNNNNNNNNNNNNNNNNNNNNNNNNNNNNNNNNNNNNNNNNNNNNNNNNNNNNNNNNNNNNNNNNNNNNNNNNNNNNNNNNNNNNNNNNNNNNNNNNNNNNNNNNNNNNNNNNNNNNNNNNNNNNNNNNNNNNNNNNNNNNNNNNNNNNNNNNNNNNNNNNNNNNNNNNNNNNNNNNNNNNNNNNNNNNNNNNNNNNNNNNNNNNNNNNNNNNNNNNNNNNNNNNNNNNNNNNNNNNNNNNNNNNNNNNNNNNNNNNNNNNNNNNNNNNNNNNNNNNNNNNNNNNNNNNNNNNNNNNNNNNNNNNNNNNNNNNNNNNNNNNNNNNNNNNNNNNNNNNNNNNNNNNNNNNNNNNNNNNNNNNNNNNNNNNNNNNNNNNNNNNNNNNNNNNNNNNUUUAAUGCCUAAAAAUCUUGAUGAAAUAUACUUUUAAAUUCCAAUUACAAGUUCCUUAGAUACAGAAUGUCCUUUAUGUCCACUGCAGUUUCCAUUCAAAACUUCAUUUUUUGGAUCAUUUAGUUCCAGUGAUCUAUUAUUAAGUUUAAGUUCAUUUUUUGUCAGAAACUGUAGUAACAUGAAAUAAGAACACAGAAUACUCUGUUCGGAAUGGAUAGCUACACGAUUUUCGUAGUAUUCUAAAAUUAGGAAAAACAUUCGGUUGGAAUUUAAUUUCAACAGAAAAAUUGAAAUAAUUUUGCACGAAAAUAAGAGUAAAAUAAAAGUAAUUGAUUCAUGAAAAACGUAGUUGAGUUCAAGUAUAUCAUGUGCUGCUCUUGUUUGAAAAAUGGCAAUUAUAGGGUUACCGUUUGCAACUAACAAAAUGGUAAUCGAAAAGGUACAAAGAUAUUCUGGAGAAUUGGAACCUGUUGAAGUGGCAGACAAAUUGAAAUAGGUGCACGCCUAAUUUUGAACUUCUGACUCAUCUUAUGAAAGUUCCAGUUUUUGGAUGUGAGCAAUCUUUCCCCAGUCUUCGCCAUCUGGAUUUCGACACCGCUCCUUCAGCAAUGGACAAUCGAAGAUUGUAAGAGAAGAGAUGGAUUUGGGGAGACCCUCCGCUGGUAAGCAUUCAAGGCUGGGACAAUCCUCAAAUAUGAGAGAGGAGAGGUGGCAGAGACCUUUGUAGUGCAUCUUUUUAAGAUUUGGACACCAACGGAUUUCUAGAGAGGUGAGAGAGCGUGGCAGCAAAACUUCAUCGGGAAAACACUCCACCUCCAACUUGUAAAUACACAACCUUUGAAGAGAUGUGUUGGGGUCCAAGUUGUCUCUCAAGGAGGCGAUAAGUUUUAAACAUGAAAGAGACAUUUGUUUUAUAUUUAAUGGCAAACCUCCAUCUGGGAACAACUCCACUUCUGGACAAUUAAUUAUAUGCAGCCCAGUAAGGGACGGAAACAGGAUUUGCAUGCGUUUGGGAAACAGGAAUGAUUUUAAUUGAGGGCAAUCAUUAAUACGUAGAUGCAUGAGAUGAUUAUGAGCGUACUCCUGUGAAAUUCUUUCUAUGUGGUGGCACAAUGUCAGUUCAAGAGAAAGGAGCUUUGGAAAGAAAUGUAGUCGAAAGAUUGCAAGAGAGUCGGUGCCUCCAUCAGUAUGCGAUGUGUCCAUACUGUUUCCGCUAAUUCUGAGCUCAUCACUAACAACUACUUUCGUACCUUUCAGUUUCGGACAUUUAAACACAAAAAGGUCUUGAACACGUGGAAAAGAAGUAGUUUUACACUCCCAUUCUUCCCAUUCCUUCAUAUUAUAGAAGUCUAAGCUCUCCAAGGAUGCAAACGAAGAGUUGCUCCCAUAAAAUUCGGCACCAAUGCUCACUAUUCCAUCAAGACCUCUAAUCUCAAGGGUCUUCAGUGAUGACAAAAGUCCAAGGGGAGGCAAACAUAGGCAGUAUUUACAUUUAAACAACUUUAAGAACACCAGAUUUGAUAACGAAUUAUCGAAUUCCCAACUUGGGAAUUCUGUAGCAUUGUAGUUCCAGAUUGACAAUUUCUCCAAGUGAUUGGAAGGUUGUAGAUUCUGAAGUACUUCCUUUUCUUUCUUUGGAUCAUCAGGGAUGUGGUCCGACUUCCAAUAUAAUUGUAGCUCCACAAGGCGUUUAUCUUUCAAAUUUGCUUUUAAUGCAUCCAAAGGAUUCCCAAUAUUCUGCACGUCAAUGAUUGAUAGCCUUCCAUGAAGAUUGAGUCCUCCCAAUCCGCCCAGUUCCUUAGUACUUAGCUCACUAUUUUUAUCCACGAAAAACAUACUUAGUACUUGAAGAUUCUUCAAUUCUCCAAAAUGCAUUGGCAUCUUUCUCACUUUUGUACCUACAAAUUCCAGGCAACGCAAUUUGGUAAGCUUAUGCAAAUUUAAGGGAAACUCCUCCAACAUUGAACAAUUGUUCAACUUCAGUAUUAGUAAGUUAUAGAGCAAACAUAUCGAGUCAGGUAGCUUUUGUAUCUCUGUAGACGAAAGAUCUAACGAUUGGAGAUGUUUAAGAUCACCUACAGAAUCUGGGACCUCUCUAAGGUGUAAACAACCACGGAAAGAUAACACGCGUAUAAACUUAAUAUUGGAAAACAAAUCAUGUAU